AGAAGCAUCUCAAGAUUGUAGCCAUUGGUGUUUGCCAGGUCUUCCAGAUACAUGGAAUCAACUGCUUUAUGCAUCUCUAUUAGUGAAUGCCAAAGGUUCCUGAAAAGAUUAAUCUUGCAUUAUUAUCCUCUUGACUGAAACUUUUGCCAUCGAAACAAAAGAAGACCAGAUAUAUUUUACAAAAUUUCGAAUGUUCUUAACUAGCAAAAUAGUUUGUAUUUUGUUAAUAUAAAGUAGUAGUUGAUUUGUUGCAUUGAUAACAUUGUUAUAUCACCUGUUAAAUCGUAGUCAAAAUUUAAUUAAAAUCAGUAGCGAGACUGUCUUUCACUGAUACUUUUCUGAUUCACGCCAGGUCCGGCCAGAUUCACCAAUGAUGGUAAGUUUCCCCGUACCCGAUAGGCCGAUACCUGCCCUGUACCCGGAUGGUCGGGUACGAGGACGAAAAUGAUUUUUCUAUCCGAAGUAGGAAAAUCCCCGUUCCUGGCCGAAAUUCUCGGCCAUUUCCAGGUAUAGGGAUGGGGAUUGAAAUCCCCACCCUGAAUAAUACUCGCACACCUAAGGUAAAUUAUAUUUAUACCUUAUAUAAUAUUUUAUAUAGUAUAAUUUAUAUAAAUAACUCUAUAUAAUAUAUUAAAUACAUAAGUUUAUAUUUAAAAUGUACUCAUAAAAAAUUUAUAUUCAACCUCGUACAUUUUAAUAUUUCAUUUAUAUUUAAGUGUCAAAUCCCCAAAGAUCAAAUCCCUAAAUCUAUUUCUUCCCUAAAUCUCAAAACCCUAAAUCACUCCCUAACUAAAUCGAUUCUCCCUUUAUUUCUAUUUCUUCCAUUGGUGAAUUCAACUCAUUCAAAGUAAGGAUCGAUUCAAAAGGUAAAUAUUUAUUUUUAUUUCUAUUUCUAAGAAUGAAUUAGAAUCUCUUGCUUUUUUAUAUCUUGAGUUGUUGUUUUCUCAUUUCCGUUCUGUCAUUUUCUUUCUGUCGCAAGAAAACUAUUUUAGAUUUAACAAAUAAAACAUACCGUCAACUUCAUGUCGCCAUCCCAGUGUUGGUUUAAUAUUGAAACGAUUAGGAGGUGGAUCCUGUUAAAAUUCAAAAUUUUGGCCGGGUAUCCCUGUCUCUGUAUCCAAUCAUUGGCCGGGUACGGGGAAGAUUUUUGGGUCCGAGUAUUUCCCCGUACCCGCUCACCCCUAGACAGAUAGCUGGGCCGAUCAGGUUUGUCAGACCAGGUCCUUUUCCUCCUAGGGCUUAAGAAGUUUGAGCUUCCCCAUCUAUAUUACAAAAAAAACUGACUUUUUUGGAGGCUCUUUUUUGAGACUUGACCUGACGUGAAACAGGAAAUAUAGUGUCAGAUAGCUGGGCCGGUUAGGUUUGCCGGAUCAGGUCCUUUUCCUCCUAGGCCUUAAGACGUUUGAGGUCCCCCGUCUAUAUUACAAAAAAAUUGACUUUUUUGGAGGCUCUUUUUUGAGACUUGACCUGGCGUAAAACAGGAAAUAUAGUGAUAGAUAGCUGGGUCCAGUGGCGUAUCCAGGAUUCCCCGGCAGGGGGGGCAAGAUUCGCCGAAGGCGAAAAAUUUUUUUUGCCGAAGAUCUCUCCUAUAUAUAUGUCAAGAUAUUAAAAUAGUGUAGUAGAACUUAAAAUUAAUUCAAGCUCACCGAAUAAAGCUCCAACAAUUUUAGUCUCGUUCAUCCGUAGUGUGUUUAACAAAUCGAAUCAAGUAAAGCUAAGCUCGGACUCAGCUCGCCAAGUGAGAAUAAGAUUUAGCUCGAAUCCUAUUUUGCAAAACUAAAGAUCGAAGCUUGAUAAACUAACUUGCAAUAUAACAUCAAAAAUCAAUAUUAAACAAUAAUUUUAGAAUACCAAAGAUCAGUGGCGUAUCCAGUUUUUGAAGGACCCAUCAACUGUUUGGGGGUAUGUUAUUGAUCUUGGACUCCUUGUGUACUAGAAACAACUUAUAUAGAAAGCAACGGAGGGAGAAAUCGUGAGGUGGAUGGGUCAUGCGAGUUGGGAGGAGGAGAGAUUGGGGAAGAAAUUGAAGGAGGAGGAGGAGAAAUCGAUAGUUUUGGGGAAGAAGAUUGGGGGAAAGAAAUUUAUAUAAUAUAUAAAUAUUGUGAAAUUUAUAUAUUAACCCUUAAAAAUAUUAAUAUAUUGUGAAAAUUAUACUAAACCCCCUAUAAAAAAUUUAAUUACAUAUAGGUCCUUCAAAAAUUUCCAAAUUUUAGGGGGGGCAAUUGCCCUCCCUUGCCCCCCCUGGAUACGCCACUGCCUCCAAUGAUAUGCCCUUUCAACCGAGCAAUCCCCGCUUUCGAAAUGAAAUGGCAGAAAAGACACUUCACCUUGUUUGAGUCUUUAUUCACCAUAACCCCAUAUUUCCAAGCCGGAUCAUUUGAUUUUGGUCUCAUCAAUGGGCUUGUUUUUUCUUCUUCAGUGGUUAAUGGAUGCCAUUUGAAUUUCUUGUUUCCCUCGUCAUCCAAUUCCACAUUUUCUUCAAAAACAUUCAUUGACUUAUCUUCUCCAUGAUCUAUGGUUUGAAUUUGUUCUUAAGUCUGAAAUUUAAGAAAACAGAUUAAGAUAUUAAUAUGUGAAAUUUAAGGGAAAAAAUUCAGAUGUUAGCUCUGAAUUUCUCAAUUCCCGAUUUAAUUUCAGAUUUAAUCCCCAGUCUGAAAUUCUGAAUAUAAUCGAUGUCAUCUUCAAAUUUAUAUUUCAUCGAUAUAAAUUUAUAUUCAGAAUCUGAUUAUAAAUUUAUAUUCAUCGAUAUAAAUUUGAAUUUCAGAUGACAUCUUCGAUUUAAUUCCCCACUCUGAAUAUAAUCGAUGUCAUCUUCAAAUUUAUAUUUCAUCGAUAUAAAUUUAUAUUCACAAUCUGAUUAUAAAUUUAUAUUCAUCAUUCAUCAAUAUAAAUUUGAAUUUCAGAUGACAUCUUCGAUUUAAUUCCCCACUCUGAAAAUCGAUUAUAAAACCACAUAAUUUCCCAACAGAUUUAAUACCUAACUAUGUGUAGAAAAAUCCAGCAGCGGAAGGCUAGCAGCAGUGCAGCACGAUUCCGACUUUCUUCAGUAGUAGGCGCAGCGCUAGGCGGUUCAGACUUCAGGUGCCCGAUUUCCGUUCAGGUCUUCAGGUGUCCGACUUCAAGUCUUCAAGGAUUCACCGACGAUUUAGGGUUUUUACUUUUUAGUGUUUUUUAUUUAAAUGGAUCUUUUUAAUAAGGUCCUUAAAUUUUAAUAGAAUAAUUCAAUUCAUUUAAAGUUUUUAAAUUUAAUAGGGUUAAUGGAUCGGGUUUAUCCGGAUCCGGCUAAACCCAAUAAUAUGCGACCCCCCAAAUAUGCGAUGGGGGGUUACCGCCUGGCAUAUGCGACAAAUCAAAAAGCUUGGUUUACAUACGAUCACACAAAUACAUCUUGCAACGUUAGCUUGAAAUUUCAUUUCAAUUCUCCUCAAUGUCAGACAAAUGGCAAUACUAUACCUUCCAAAGUUGAUUUUUCGACGUCCUUGAAUCCUGAUGCCCAUGCUAGCACUAUUUUUCAGUCAGAUUUUGUCCAAUGCACCUCUGCUGAGAUUAGGGAAUCAUCUGCCAAUAUGAUCUACGGAACUGCUAAAAUACCAAAUAGUAUGAAUUACCAAUUCAAUUCCCCUCAUUGUCAGACCAAUGUUAAUCCUAUAGCUUCCAAUGUCAAUGUUUCUACUUCCUUGGAUCCUGAUAUCGUACACAACACUUUUUUUGAUUCAGAGUAUGUCCAAUCCGCCUCUGCUGAUAUUAGGGAAUCCUCUGCUCAAAUUCGUGCUAACUCCGCUAAUGUGAGUAGCGGAACUGCUAAAACCCCUGAUAUUCAUUUCAAACGAAAAUCUUCCUCUCCUGGUCAAUAUCCAACAUCUCCUGAUCAUGAAAAUGGAUUUCUAGUUACAGUCAAUCCAAUAAACCAUGUCCUAUUGUAGGUGAGGUUUUUCCUUCGUAUGAAAAUACUGUUCAAUCCUACUACGAUUUCGCAUCCUUUAUCGGAUUUUCUGUUCGUUUAGGAUCGACGAAGAAUAUAUUAGAUAAAGAAAUUGGUCAAAAAAUUCUUGUAAUUAAAAGGUUGUUAUGUUCUAAACAAGGCAGUCCAAUUCUAAUACUUCCACCAACCAACGGUACUAGACGGAAGAAUGGUGUUUCUAAAUGUGGUUGUCUAGCAAGUAUCAAAUUUAAAAGAAUAGGCAGAUCUGAUAAUUGGGUCACUGAUUCGGUAAAUUUUGAUCAUAAUCACACAUUUACGACUCCCUCAAAAAUUCGAUACCUUCCAAUAAAUCGGUCAAUAUCUCAUACCUCCAAAUUACUUUUUUCCUCCCUAGCUGAAGUUAAUGUUCCAGUAUCACAGCAGGCUGCCUAUUUCUCUAAUCAACUUGGUGGACCGCAGAAUAUGGGCUGCAUGACAUUGAACAUUAACAAUAUGGUUCGUGAUGAUCACAUAGAUCUGAAAAAUUAUGACGUCUACUUGAUUGUAGAGGAAUUCGAAAUGAAGAAGUUAGAAAAUAGAGACUUCUUUUAUGAUCUUGUCAAAGAUGAUUGUCGUUUGAAACACUUUUUUUGAGCCGAUCCUACUCUGAUUGAAAAUUAUAAGUUAUUUAGAGACUCCGUUACUUUCGACACGACCUAUAAGACCAAUAUUUAUUCCAUGGUGUUCAGCAUGGUUUGCAGUGUCAACUACCACUGGAAGUAUACAAUAUUCGGUAGUGUAUUUUAAGGUAUUUCGUUUACACAUUGUAAUGAAAAUUCUCAUUUUGUUUCAUCUUUAAUCCUAUAUUUUUGCAUUAAAUCAUAUUCUUUUAUUUCUGUUUACCUGUGCAGUAAUGAAAAAGUAGAUGUCUUUACAUGGUUAUUCAAUACGUUCAGACAAUGUAUGAGACACCCUCCUCAAUCAAUUAUUAUUGAUCAAGAUUUGACGAUGAAAGGUGCAAUAUCUCGUGCUUUUCCUGAAUCUUUUCAUCGUUUGUGUCGUUGGCCCAUAACCAACAAGUUGUUUACCAAGGUCCCCACAGUAUGCCAGAAUAUCAAUUCUCUAAACAUGUUCUACAAAAUUAUUAAAUUUUCAGAGACUCCUAAAGAUUUUGAAGACUCAUGGUCUCUUUGGAUCACAGAGAAUAAUGUAUCUUCUAAUGUAUGGUUGAAAAGUUUAUACGACAUCCGUUAUUCAUGGGUCACAUGUUUGAUGUGUUCUCAUUUCUUUGCUGGAAUGCAUUCUACUCAACGGAGCGAAGGCAUGAAUUCUUUCUUUAAAACCAAAGUGACAGUCAAGAACAUACUGUUUAGCUUCGUUCGCCGAUACCAAAAAUAUGAUAAAUACCAUUCGUGAGUUCGAGAAUUUGGACGAUCACAAAGAUACAUUUUGACACCCAAGAUUUAUUACAUCUAUGGACAUUGAGAAAGACGCUCUGAGUUUCUUUACAACUGCUAUUUUCCUUCUUUUCAAAAGGAGAUGCGGAAAAACUUCUUCUACCAUAUAUUACCACCGAAUGAUCAAUCCUCCGAGGUACGUCAUCCUAUUUUGUCUAUCAUUGUUCCAAAAUUUCAAUUUCUUCCCAACAAUGUCUUUCUAAAUAUUUUCUUCUUCAUUCCUAUAGGAUACUCAAUAUCUACCUGUUCUUUCUUUAGAAAGAAUGACUAUGUUAUUCAAACUCACUAUUACGAAAGGUAAUUCUACACCGACUUGCUCAUGCCAUAGAUUUGAAUAUAGCGAGGUUCCAUGCUCUCAUGUUAUACAUUAUCUUAUUGUCAACGGUUACCGAAGUUUACCAAACGUUCUAAAAAUGCCUAGGUGGAACAAACUAUGUCUGACUGACCGAAUUGCUCCAUUUCUUCCACAACCUGACAAUCUAUUGUCUAAGUAUGCAGUAAUGUCGCAGACAAUAAUGAAUUAUGCGAAGAUGGGACAAUCUCAACUUGAUAUACUACUGAAAUUAUGGUGAAGAGGUUCUUCAGAAACUCAGCGAAAUUGUAGUUAUUCUUAAUUCAUAUUCUAGAACAUCAAUCACAAGAACUAAGAAACCUAGGAAUACACCAGUGUUGAUUGGUCCUCCGGCGAAGGUUAAAACUAAGGGUAGUGGUAAGAGCGGAAGACCGACAAAAAUUGAUGCAGCGCGAAUGAAAAGCGCAAAAGAAAUAUAUCGCGAUCCAACAGCUAGGAAGAAAUGAUCUGUCUUUUCUCCUGUUUUGUCAUAAACAAUUUAUUUUAUGAGCUAGAAACAUUCCAAUUUUAAUCACGUACGUCGUUACUCCUUUUUGGAACUCACAUAAUAUCUGUUGUUCUUCUGCUAAUAUCUAAUGUUACUUAGAUAAUAGAUAUUGUGUUUCUGCUAAUAUAUGUAGUUUUUCUAUUAUGACUUUCUCAACUGAUAUUGUUUAGUGUCCAUCUGCUAUUACGGUGUUACGUUAUUAUGUAGUUUCCCUCUGCUAUUACGGUGUUACGUUAUUAUGUAGUAUGCCUCUGCUAUUACGCUACUUUGUAGUAUGUCUCCGCUAUUACGGUAUUACGCUACUAUGUAGUAUCCCUCUGCUAUUACGGUGUUACGCUACUUUGUAGUAUAUUUUCGUUAUUACGGCGUUACGCUACUAUGUAGUAUGCAUAUGCUAUUAUGUUGUUACGCUACUAUGUAGUAUGCCUCCGCUAUUAUAAUGUUACGCUACUAUGUAUUAUGCCUCUCCUAUUACCUUGUUAUGCUACUAUGUAGUAUGUCUCUGCUAUUACCUUGUUAUGCUACUAUGUAGUAUGUCUCUGCUAUUACGGUGUUACGUUACUUUGUAGUAUGCCUCCGUUAUUACGGUGGUACGCUACUUUGUAGUAUGCCUCCGCUAUUACGGUGGUACGCUACUUUGUAGUAUGCCUCCGCUGUUUCGGUGUUACGCUACUAUGUAGUAUGCCACUGCUAUUACGGUGUUACGCGACUAUGUAGUAUGCCUCCGUUAUUACGGUGUUACGCUACUAUGUAGUAUGCCUCCGUUAUUACGGUGUUACGCUACUAUGUAGUAUGCCACUGCUAUUACGGUGUUACGCGACUAUGUAGUAUGCCUCCGUUAUUACGGUGUUACGCUACUAUGUAGUAUGCCUCUGCUAUUACGGUGUUACGCUACUCUGUAGUAUGCUUUCGCUAUUAGGGUGUUACUACUUUGUAGUUUUCUUUUACCCAGCUAAUAGAUAUUUGUGAGCCCGAAACAUUCAUAUUUUAAUCAUGUACGUCGUUAGUCCUUUUUGGAACUUCCAUAAUAUCUGUUGUCUCUCUGCUAAUAUCUAAUGUUACCUAGCUAAUAGAUAUUGUGCUUCUGAUAAUAUACAGUUAUGCUAUUAUGACUUUUUCAACUGAUAUUGUUUAGUGUGCAUCUACUAUUAUGUUGUUACGUUACUAUGUAGUGUGUAUCUGCUAUUACGGUGUUACGCUACUAUGUAGUAUACCUCUGUUAUUACGGUCUUACGCUACUUUGUAGUAUGUCUCUACUAUUACGGUGUAGUAUUCCUCCGUUAUUAUGGUGUUUACGCUACUAUUUAGUAUUCCUCUGCUAUUAUGUUGUUUUACCUAUUUUAUAGUGUGCAUCUGCUUUUAUUGUCUAUUAUACUUCCGUUAUUAUGUAAUGUGUUUCUGCUAAUAUCUGCACCUAGUCCAACAUGCUUUUAUGUUUCUGCCAAUAUUUUAUGUUUCACAAUCAUUCCUUCGACACAUCUAUCACUAGCACUGUAUAAACAAACAAUAUCUGUAAUUUUGCAAAAAGUAACUGAGUACUUAGACUAAUAAUGUGAAGUAAUAUGAAAUUUUUGCACUUUAAUUGUACUUGAAACUGUAAUUGUUAAAUAUAUGAGAGUCUCGUAACGCCACUCGCAGUAUGUCGUGGACAAUUUUCUCCCUUAUGUUGUCAACGUCUUUCUUGCUCCAAAGUACUGGUUUGUCAAGACAUAUGCAUUCAAUGACAGCCAUUACGUAUAUCCCUGUAUCUUCAGAAUUUUUAAGGAAUGUCUGCGGAAAAUAAGGAGCUGAUUCACAAACCAAGGUGGACAAGUUGUGGUCCAACCAUAGAGACUGCAAAAUAAAUUACAAAGUAGGAUUAAAUUCUUAUUAACAUUAUGCAAAAACAGAAAUUAUUAUCAAUAUAUACCAUUAGGCACAUGACACAACCAUCUAUGUAGAGUUUGGAUGACUCAUUUGUUCAUUUCCGGUGUAGGACGCUGUCCCUGCACUUCUCCAUACGUUCGAAAAGCACACCGUGUAGGAAUUCAGCCCAAUUAUACUCGUCAAAAUAUCCUAUGUUAGAAAUGUAAUCGAGAAAUUUCCGCCCGAUACGGUCACUGUUUUUGCAACAAAGUACUGUAAUAAAUAAAUAGAUUAUCCACAAUCUAAUUAAAUCAUCCUCAUCAGUCUUUGAUAAGGAUUCAUUCUCAACCUUCUUGUUGAUUGCUGUAAUGGCCUGGACCACCACAUCCCUUCUAAUGUCGCAAUCCGAACUAAAAUGCCUCAGGGAUCAAUCUGAAGUACUCUUGGCCUUCUUCUUCAUUAUCACAGCAAGGCCAGAUGAUGGAAUGCCGAGGAUUUCACCAAAUCUUUCACAGAAAAUUUUAACUUAUUACCGUUAAUAACAAAAAUGUUUUUUCCCACAUACCUGCCUAUCAGAUCGUCUAGUAGACGAGCCCUGAUUUUAAAUUCAGGGAUAGCAAAGAACUGACCAAAACAACAAGACUUUAUUCUUUUCGUCACAGUAUCGGAGAACUGUAUACAUCCGGUGAGCGCAACCUCUUUAUAAGUUGGUAUUUCAGAUCGGUGAUGAAUCAAGUGGUUGACUAUAUUUCCAAAAUUAAAAUGAAUGAACAAGUAACAAAUAAUAAUAUGACAUUUAAAAAAAAUUAAUGCUUAACUGUUCGUCUCCUCACGCUCGCAAUUGCCAGUCCUUGCUUUCUUCUUCUUCCUGACUUGUGGUCUUUCAUCAGAAGAGGAAGGUAUUUUAUCAUAUACAUGACCCUUUUUAGCAGACACAGAACAUUUAUUCUUCCUAGCUAAGGUUUCCUUUUCUCUGCAUAAGUCAGUUCUAAUCCUUCCCUUCUUCUUUUUGGGUACUUCUCUUUCAUCAGAAGUUUCAGACAAUUUAUCAGAAGAAGAAUCUUUUUUAGCAGAACAUUUACUUUUCUUCAGCUUCGCAGAACAUUCCUUUACAUUACGGUACUCAGUAGGAAUUUUAGCAGAGUCUUCUUGUUCUUCUUCCUCUUCAUCAAGCUUUUCAACUACCGUCACUUUCUUUUUCCUCACUGCCUUUGUCUUCCUUUUCAUCCUUGGUGGGGACUUCACGACAUCACCAGGACAUUUUUUUGCGUUUAAUCUCCUUCGAUCGUCCGCCAUCACCUUUCUUAGUGUAAAUUCGAAGUCCAUCUCCUUAUAUUUCUUCGUAGAUUUCUCUGGAAUUUUACCUAAAAAGAUAAAAAUAUUACGAUUAUCAUACUUAGCAACCACCAUACACAUAUUCCAAAAUAUGAAACAGUUACUUACUCCGCUUCUUCUUUGAUAGAAUGAACUGAUUGACAUCCGAUGAAGAAUCCCUCUCUGAUCUCGACAGAUUACAGUCGAUAUCUUCGAUUAAACUCUCUACAACGAAAUUAACACGCUUGACAUCUCGCACUGCAUUUUUGAAAAAUAUAGAGCACAAUAUUGACGACAUAACUAUUAAUACGCACAACAAUUGAUUAUACAUUUAAAUUUCAAAUCAAACAUUACCUGUUGAUUAAUUCUCUUUCAUUUCUUCUUCCUCACUAGAAGUCAUUAUCACAACUACAUAAUAUUUUAGCAGAACCAAAACAUUAUCAGUAAAUACAUUCAAAUUAACAGAAGUAUUUCUUUAAUUACCAUUACAAUAAAACACACAUACAUAUGUAUAAAAAUCAAUUACAAAACUAGUACGAAUAAUUUUAGCAGAAAAUGAAAUCAAAAUAACGAAGAAGUGACUGUUCUUGAAGUUACUGCUGUUGAAAAAAAGAAGAACAGAGCAAUAAUUAAAUCAAAUACCUAAAAAAUUACUAAGGAGAAAUUAAGACAAUAGAAAAAAAACAGAUGCAACAAGACUAAAACAUAGAAAAUACAAAUACCAUUUAAACUAGAGAAUUCGGAAACUACAAAUACUACAAAGAAAUCAUACACAGGACAUCCAAAAAUAACCACAUAUACAUAGGAUCUAACACUAGCAUACAAUUGAUAUAUUUUUAGGGAACCCAAUGAGGCAACGAUUAAAGGAAAUAAGAAAGAAAACAUUUAUUCACUAUUCAAAACAAGAUGAAACAACAACAAAAAAAAGAAAGUUCUUGAGUUAAAAAAUUCUCUGUCAAGGCAAUAUACGAUUAUUUAAAAUGGGUUCAUCUAUAUAUAGAUGAACAACCGCCUAGGGUUAUGAAAGAACUAGUCUCCUAGGAGUAGCAACUGCCUCUAACAUUAAAAAAAUUGUUUCUUAAAGAAUAUAUCGGUUCUAAAAAAAAAAGGGUUACUCUAUUUAAAAAAAAAAAAAGAGUUGAUCUACUUUCUCUCAUCGCUAUGUUUAUGCGGGUGUCACCCUAUCGUUUGGAGGAACGAAAGAGAGGGGGCGAAAAUGAAAAAGGGUUACUCUGUGGUUGGAUUAAACCCUACCUGGAGGCUUCCGGCAAGCGUUAUCGUGGUUUCCUUUCAAUCGCCAAUGUAUGGACGAAAACGGAGAAGAGCUACCGCCGACGAGAUAGCGCACAACGGAUGACGUUAGUUGGAAAUCUGAAUGAAGAGUGGCUUUGUGAACGAGGUAGGGUUUAGAGGUUGUUUUGGAAGGAGAGCGAAAAUGGGUUAAAUUUUUUUGGAAUUGUAGGAUUUUUGUUUUUAGCUAAUCCAAAACAGUAGCACAGAUAUUAGGAAGAUAUCGGUGUACAGUAGUACUGUGCUAGGUUUUUCGUUUUUAAUUAGUAGCAACUGGUUCCCAGGUUACUGGUCCAAAAAAAUCGACGGCCCAGGGAACUAGAAGAAAACGGACCGCUAUGAUCGUGAGGGGUUCUUAUAAAAAAAUGACAAAAACACAGAAAUAAAACUUGCGAGACAGAUUUUAAAGUAAGUCAACAAGUCAAAACAAACCUAGAAUAUAUAAAAUCAUUUGGAGGGGAUAAAGCAAAAUAUCACAUGUGGGAGGGUAAUAGGCAUAAAUCACACGUUGGCCGCUCAUCUCAUUUUAAAAAACUACACAAUGGCAUGCACGUGGGAUGGGAAAUUAAAUUAAACCAGUGUAACUUAAAAUGGCUAAGCCCUAGCCUUGAUAUCAAUGAAACUAGUCAACACAGCCGAUCACCCAAGGCACAAUCUGGCCUUGGGUUAACAAAUUAGUUAGACAAUUGGGUAAAUUUAGCAUGCCCAGUUGCCCCCAACAUAAAUACUAUAAUGGAAGAAAAGCAUACACUGGUGGGGUUGGGAAUUUUGCAUGUGCUCUUAUAUAUGAUAAAAAUAAAAUAAAAAUACUAAAAAUAGGAAUCUUGCAUGUGAUAUAAACCUCAUAAUUAAAAAUAAGAAAGCAAUCUUAAUAUACACCCAAGUGGGUGGGAAAAGCCAAAGAUACCAAAAUGGAUAUUGGGCUAGUCACACCUUUAAGUUAUUGACCAACUAUGAAUUUGGCCAAGGCCAAAUUUAUAGAAUCGAACUAGCCCCAAUCUGGCAAAUAGGACAAUUCCAACUUAGGAUGAGAAAGACAACCCCCAAGUCAAACAAGGGUCAAAAUGAUCAAGUUGGUCAACUUAGUCAAUUUGGUCAAACCAUAGAGCAAAGUUGGUCAAAACCGUGCAAUCUUGACCAAAGGCGAACUCGGUUAACCCCUAGUUCUGAUCAAGAGCGGCCAAACCGCCUCAAUUGUGAAAUUGAAAUUGGUCAAACCACCAGAAUUUUGACCAAUUAGGUAUUGUAGUAAAAUUAUUAAAUCAAAUAAGAAUGUCGUUUGGGAGUUGGAACGUCUAUGGAUUAAACAAUCGUGUGAGAAAAGACGAGGUCAAGAGGUUUGUCAAAAAAUUCAAGUUGGAUCUAUUUGGUCUAUACGAUACUAAAAUAAACAAGAUCAACUUCGCACAUUGUAGUAAGAUUUUUGGACAAAAUUUCUUGGUGAUAUCAAACAAGGCCGAAAUAGACAUACGAUCAGACUCUAUCUGGUUGGUAUGGGAUGUGAACAUGUGGGAGAUUGAGAGCACCAUCUUGCACAAUCACUUCAUACACUGUUUUGCCAAAAACAAAAAUGGGUUAACCAUACAUGUCACGUUAGUCUAUGCCUCAACCAACUGCCAAAAGAGGGAUAAAACGUGGGACAAGCUGAUAAAAAUAGGUAGAACGAUAACUGGACUAUGGAUUCUACUCGGUGACUUCAACGAGAUCAGAAGUAGGAAAGAUAGAAUAGGAGAACACGCCACAUUCUCUAUGCCAAACAUAAGGAGUUUCAACCAAGCGAUAGACAAUGCAUGCCUGCAAGAGAUCUCCAUUUUAGGCAACCCAACUACAUGGACGAAUAAAAGGGUAGGAGAGUACAGAAUCAACAGUAAGAUCGAAAAGGAGUUUGGAAAUGCUAAACUCUUCAAUCUAUGGCCUGAUAUAAAAUUGGAAAGCCACUCCAGGGGCACGUCCGACCACCGUAGUUUGACCAUCGAUCUUAGAAUCGUUCGGGAAAAGAAAAAACCUUUCAGGUUCACAAACUCAUGGCUUAAAAAAGAAGAGUUAGAAGGAGUAGUCAAAGAGGCUUAGCAGAUCCAAGCAUGGGGAACCCCGAUGUAUAUAUUCACCAAAAAAUUAAAUAAUGUGAAGAGGGUACUUAAGAGGUGGAAGACAUCGGAGGACCAAGCAAGAUGGAGAAUAGCCCAGGCUGAGAAAGAGAUCCAAAAAAAUGAGAACUUGCUGGAGGAAAACCCAUUCGACGCAACAAUACAUAAGAGGCUAAAAGGAUGUAUUGAAAAUUUAAAAAUCCUAAUACAGGUCCAAGAAGAGAAUGCAAGACAGAGAAGUAGGGCGUACUGGCUUCAACUUGGAGAUAAGAACACCAAAUACUUCGCAGCCAUGACGAAACAGAGGAAAAACCUAAAUUCACUAUACAUAAUUCUAGGGCCCAAUGGGAAGGCGAUGGUUUCGAGAAGUGAGAUGGAGGAGAAGACACUACACUUCCAAGCCCUAUAAGCCGAGGGAGGGGAGACCUUGAGUAGCACCCCUAGAAAUUUCACAAACACAGUCAUAGACCAACAAAACACAGACUUAGAGGAAAUGCCUACCUGGCCCGGAUGGCUUCAAUGGAGUUUUUUUUAGAGCUUGUUGGAACAUCAUAGAUAAGGACCUGGUAAAGGUCAUACAAUCCAUCUUCUUAGGCGAACCCCUCCUAAGACAAACCAACGCGACAUUCGUGACUCUAAAUCCCAAAGAUCAAGAGUCCAACGAGGAUGGACCAAUUCAGACUCAUAUCCUAUAUCAAUACCACGUAUAAAAUAUUAUCCAAGAUCAUAACGAACAGAUUCGACUUUAGUUGACAACAACCAAAUAGCCUUUCUGUCAGGCAGACUGAUUGGUGACAAUUACCUUUUAGCAACUUAGAUGAGUAAAAUAUAUUUAGUUUCAUAUUGUUGUAGGUUUAUAAUUAGUUUGUUUAAAUAUAAAAAAUAUGAUAACUAUAAAAAAAAUUACAAUUGUUUUUAAUAUUUUACUUAUUUUAUCUAUCCAUAAUUUGUGUUGUUUCACUUCUGGGCCAUUCUUGAAUAUUCAUUCAUAACAUUGAAAAUUACAAUUGUAUUAUUUAUGUUGUUGCUUUUGUCUAAUAUUUUUUUGUGUUUAAUAGACUAUUUUAAUUUCUUUUGGUUUUACAAACCCACCAAAGGUUGAUUUUAAGAUAAUGUGAAGUCAAUCAUUAACUGUGAUCUGUUUGGUUUUUGCAGUUGGAUUAACAAUGGUGUUGAUUGGUGAUUGAUUAAUGAAACUUUUAUAUGACUUUCCUCCUUUGAUCAUGUCCACACCUAUCUUAAUAAUGAUAUGUUGAGGGACAAUGAUACAUAUGUUGUUCUAGUUUAUGAUAAUAUUCGAAUCUCUUUCCCCGAACACUCUCAUGCAUUUCCACCAUUGAUGCGAUUUUUUCAAUUAAUCCAAAGCUAUCGAACAAAUAUCUUAAAAGAAUCAAAAUAGAAAAGGAACGAUUUUUUGUGCGGUUAGAAGCGUCCGUUAAUCCUGAUCGUCGUUUAUCAUGGGAACCACUGCAGCGUUCGUUUCUCUGUUCAUGGAUUUUGUACCAUUCAGUUCUAUGUAAAGUUCCAGAAAUCAUUUUAUGAGUUUUUUCCCACCUGUACAAUUUUGUUUUGGAAAAUAGUGUUCUGUUUUCGAACAUUACUAGACCUUAAGACGUUUCUAUAUCUCUUAACUACAAUAUAUUGAGUUUCAUUUUCAUCCUAUUUUCCAUUUGAAUGGAAAUUAGAAAUUAUAGUUGUAUGCAAUUAGGCUAAUCACAACAGGUUUCUGUGAAUUAUAUUUUAAAAUCACAUAACAUGCUUGAUGGUACCCAUAAUCUAUCAGCCCAGGCCCACGCAAGAGUCCAGAAGCAAGGCCCAGUAAAGUGAACAAAGGAGGAAGAUCCAGGCCGCCCCAAGGGUAUUCGCGCGACUGGGCCGGUCCGACCGGACGGAUCCGUCGGCCCAGAUGGUUAGCUUUCCAAGGGUUGCGUCUCAAGCAUGUCGGGUCCUUUAGGUCGGGUCUUAGUCCGAGAACCCAAGGUCCAGAGUCCGGUGGGAAAUUGUAUAAAUACCCCUAGGGGUGAAGUGUAAAAGAGGGGAAAAACAGUUGUUGCUAUAACGAUAAUAUACGAUCAGUUACCAUUCCCUAGGGAAACGAUCAAUGCUUAAUUCGGUAUUCCCUUAAAAUAUAAAUAAGUUGUAUUGAGUUUGGUAUUUACUGAUUUUUAUUUAGUUUGAAUAUUGAUUCCCACUCAGUUUGGUAUUUUGAUAGUAUUCCAUGAAAAAUUAUGUAAGUUUCUUUAGUUUGUCAUUUUGUGAAUUUAUUGAAAUUUAGUUUCUUUGAGUUUUAUUUUAGAUUCACAUAUAAUGUUUUGGUAUUCACUAAAAAAAUAAAUUAGGUUUAUUGAUUGUGGUUUUUGCUCAUAGAUAGUUUGAAUUGAAUAUAUAAAUUGAAUGUAGUCAUUUUCAUUGAAUGAGCUAACUAAGGGUUGUUCAUGAAUUGAAUAUGUGUUUCAAAUAUUAAAAAUUUGCGAUGUUCAUUGUUCUACUUAGUGUAUUUUUAUGUGCUAUAUGUAGUAAUAUUUCAAAUUGUAUACACAGAAUACCCAAAUUAUUUUCAUCUUCAACUUUCUAACCAAUUUCUGUAUUUCAUCAAUCAAGAUUUUCAAAUUAGUUAAAACUGCUCAUGAGAAAAGAAACACAAAGGUUGUUAUUAUUAAUAACUCAUGAGUAGCUCUAAUCUAGCUCCCAGGCUCAUGAGUAGCUCAGGACCAUCCCACAGUUCAUGUACUAUAUAUAGGAAUGUUUCAACUGCAUUAAAUAUUGGAAAAUUUCUACAGAAAUUAUUUAAUCAUUGAUCUUAUAUUGCGAACUGCAGUUAUCAACUGCAUUCAAUUGUUAAUAUUAGGUAGCUCUAGACUAGCUCCCAAUUUCCGAGUAGUUUUAAUUAUAUUAUAAAUCAUAUGAAAACGGGUUAUGUUAUCAGUAUUAAUGUGUUUCAGUAUAAAGUAAUAAUUAGCUCGAUUAAAAUAUAUAUAUAUAUAUGUUUAGUUCAUAAAUAUUUAUGCACUUUAGUUCACAAAUAGACGCCAAUACAACGCGUAAUACGGAAAACGAGUACAUAUAAUAUACGACGCAUAAUUCGUUGUACAGAGUUUAAUUGUUGAUGAAUAAUGUAUCGUCAGUCGACGGAUUAAGGUCUAACGACCGAAAUUUUUUCACCGCAUGUGCGUUUUGGCACACCUGAAACUAGCUAUAUAUAUAUAUAUAUUGUAUGACAACCAAAUUAUAAAUGGUAUGAUAAUGUGACAUUCAUAAUAUAUAUAAUAAUGUCUAUGAUAUAGCAGACGGGUGGCCGUCCCCUGCGGACCAUCUGUCGAACGUCGAUGGAUGUCCAUCCGGCGGUCCUUACGCACUAAUCCGGCCGUUCCGGAGUCAACACGACCAAUGCCAAGACCGGCACAGAUCCAAUUGUAUAUCAGAGCCUACUUACUAGCGUUAUGGCCUACAUUGUCAGGACAGAGGUCAUGUCGAAGCACCCCCAUUUGUUUCGGAUCGACGAGUGCGUGAGGAACUGCCGGCCGCCGAUCAUGUCGGAUACCCCCCAUCAUGUCGGAGACCCGUUUGUCCUGUCGGACACCCCCAAGCAAUCCGCCGAACGUCUACGUCCCAGCGAGGGAGGUAUGUUCCCUGCGUCGGUCCAUAUAUACCUACUCAAGUAUUUUCUCAUUUCCAAAUAUUCAAUUUGUGCAGCCCAUACCGACUUUGACCAUCGGACACCAGCAACGACAGGGGAGGGGCAAUUGGAAGACUCAGGCAUCGGUUCUUCAUUUGGCUAUUUAAACAGGGGUUGCGUCGUUGUAAGAACCAUCUCAUCCUCCACUGCAUUAGCGAUUUUCCACAUUCUUCCACCUCCUCCACCGAAAGGUAUUUUUCUAGUCGAUAACAUUCCUUGGGUGUUUCUUGUUAAUUUCUUAGGCAAAUUUCUUAGGCAAAUAUCCAGUAGAUCGGAUAUAGUUCGUAUGUCUAUAGAUUUUUUUUGUUUUAUUUCCUCAUAGGCAGUAUACUACAUGUGAUUUGGUCUAUGUUUUCCGACCAAAAUCAAUAUUAUCUUUCUACCUCAUCAUCUGGUUCAUCAUAUUCAAGAAAGAUGUUGCUGAUAUUAAACUUUUAUUCGAUGAUUUCCUGUUUUAUUAAACUGUUAUAUGAUGGUUUCCUCUUACAAAUAUUUUCACUGCUACUACGUGAUUGUCCUUCGAUUUUGGGUAAUUCCAAUCUAGUUUUCAAAAUUUUAGAUUUCAAAUACUUCAAUAAUAGAUUGCAAUGACUUAUGCCUAAUUUUGAGUUAGUUUAUAGUACGCAAUGAGUUCUCGAAAGAGAAAUACUCCGGAGAACAACCGGGUAAGGAGGAGGAGAGGAAACCUCCACGAGAUAAUUGUCAUCAGCGAUGAUGAACCAGAGAAUGGUUCUGUUGCUGAUUUACCGGAGCCCAAGCUUGUUAACACAGGACGUCGGUCAACCCGAUUGACGCCAUUGCCCCCAAGAACCUCUGCAAUGAGGGGGUGCUGGCCUUCCAGAAAGAGGAAGUCCGUCAUGAUACAAGGACAGACCUCUCGUGCAAACGAACCGGUUAUGUGAUCAGAGUUCCUUGUCCAGCCCGCCGAUGUUCGUCAACAAAUACCCAUAUCCACUUCCUCCUGCGAUUCAAGAACUCGUUCAACUCUCCCAAUAUUGACUUGAGAACCCAUACAGGAGGUUACCUGAACUGAAUCAAUGUGGUAGGUGUUUCCAAGAAAUCCCUGAGGGACAUCCGAAUUACAUGCCGUUGAUGCCAAAUUUUCCCAUAGAGCCCUCGUCGGAUGACGACUACGAGAACGCUUUGGAGACUUACAAGAACAUUGAUCCCAAUGAUGCACAACAGUUGAAGGAUUGGUUGACACAGUCUUUCAAUACUCCUCCCCACUAAAAAUGAUGACUAGCUAUGGGUCCAAAAUCAAAAUGAGUACUGUUAGGACAAUUUACUUUUUGUCCAUGUUAAUGAAAUGUACUCUUGAAUCAAACUGUUGUACCCAACAUUAAGCUAUUAAGAUUUUCAGAUGUUGAUCUUUUCAUUAGCUCUAUGAAGUGUGCAAGUUCCUAAAUUUACAUAAAUUACAGAGCAAAUAAAUGCAAGUUUAAAUGAAUAAUCCAAACUGCAAACAGCAUGUUUUCAAUAAAUGAAAUGUAGAGACUCCAACUAAUGAACUAGUUCUAGUUUAUUUACUGGAUAAAAUCUUAUGAAAUCAUUUCUGUAAUUCCAGGGAACAACAAAUAAAUGCUUUGUGCAAUAGUACUAAAUACCAGGGUUUAAUUAUUCCAUCAGAUGCAUAUUUAGAUGUAAUUUUGUAACUAAAUUUUAAUUUUCAUAUGGAUUCAGGUCUGCAAAUACUAUUUUUAAAACACGAAGAUCCUUCGGAUGUCGACGACGAGAAACACAUCUUGAGGUAGAACAAAAACUUUAAUAAUAUGUUAAUAAUUAUGCUUCUAUUUUGAAAUUUAAAGAUUUAUAAGGUUAAUCAAUUGAAACUGGACUCUUCAAAUUUGUCCAUUACAGAUGGAGUUCUUCAAUCCAAAUAAUCCUCAUAAAUGAAAAUCAUUUUUGAAUCUCCAUGCACUAUGAUCGAGGUAGGAAUAACAUGAUUCAAAUAGCCAAAAGAUUAUUCCAUCUCUAUGGAAUCCUUAGAAACAUGAUGGUCUUCGAUCACUUGUGAACAUUAAUUUAACACUAACGUCAAGAUAGAAUUCAAAAAUGCAUUACCCUGUUCUAUAAAAAUUGAAUCAUUAGAAACAUAUUUAUAAUCAGGGGCUUUUACUAAAAAAAUCAUUAUAGUUAAUCAAUGCUUCUGUGCUGAAACUUAAAGAUUAUAUCUGGUUUUAUCAAUUGGAAUGGGAUUCUCAAACUUUGUCCAUUACAGUUAAUAAACUUCGAUGUGAACAUUCAUUAGAUUCUUCAAUACAUUUUGAAUCUCCAUGCACUAUCAUAGAGAUAGAAAUCAUAGGAUUCAAAGAGACAAGAGAUUACAUGUCAGUCAUCCAUAAAUAGGUUUUGAAUAAUACAAUCCCUAGAUUUUUCAAUCACUAUAUAAUCUUCUGUUAUAACUAUCAUUGAAAUAUGAUUCAAGCAGGCAAUAGAUACUUCCAUUUAAAUGGAAUCAUGAGACUCUGCAACAUCUAAGAAAGAUUAUCAUCUAGAGUGACUAUAAAAUGAACAUUAUUUGAUAAAUCCUAUAAUUUUUAACAUUAAACUAGGAUAUUCAACAGUCAUCGCUUUUGAACUUGGAUUCAAAAUUCCAUUAGAUUCUUCAAUCACUUUUGAACCUUAAUUUAACAAUAUCGGCAAGAUAGAAUUCAUAUAUGCAUUCGCAUAUUGUUCUAUCAAAUUUGAAUCAUUAGAAGCAUUGCAUCUUCGGGGAGCUUUCACCUAAACAAUAAUUAAAAACUAUAUAAUUUCUUGAGAUUGCUUAAGGCAAUUUCAUCAUAUGGGAGUCAAUAACCACCUUAUGAAAGCAUUCAAGUUUAUUUAAUCGAUAUAAUCUUCCAAAUUCAAAUAUGUAAAUGAGGGAAGAAAAAAAUAUUUAUUGUAAAAUAGGGCUAACUGCCAAGGUUUAUUUGAUUCGUCAAAAAGAUAAUUGUACGAUCAUUUGUAACUGAUUUUUUAUUUUUAUUUAGAUUCAGGUCUGCAAAUAAAUUAAUUGAAAACAAGAAGAUCCAGUCAUUAUUGAAGUUUGGGUAACAUCUUCAGGUCGAACUAAAACCUCUAAAUGAUAUGUUAAAUUUUUUUGCUUCAAUCUGAACAAUAAGCUCUGAUCUGAACAAUGCUCAGAUUGUCUAAUCAAUUUUGAAUAACAUGAUUCAGACAACCAAGAGAUUAUUCCAUCUCUAUGGAAUCCUUAGAAACAUGAUGGUCUUCAAUCAAUUUGAUCAAUAAUUUAUCACUAACGUCAAGAUAGAAUUCAAAAAUGCAUUCCCCUGUUCUAUAAAAAUUGAAUCAUUAGAAACAUAGUUAUAAUCAGGGCGCUCUUACUAAAAAAAUCCUUACAGUUAGUCAAUGCUUCUGUGCUGAAACUUAAAGAUUAUAUCAGGUUUAUCAAUUGGAAUGGGAUUCUCCAACUUUGUCCAUUACAGUUAAUAAACAUCGAUCUAAACAUUCAUUAGAUUCUUCAAUACAUUUUUGAAUUUCCAUGCACUAUCAUCGACAUACAUUGAAAUAUGAUUCAGGCAGGCAAUAGAUACUUCCAUUUAAAUGGAAUCAUGAGACUCUGCAAUAUCUAAGAAAGAUUAUCAUCUAUAGUGACUGUAAUAUGAACUUUAGUUGAUAAAUCCUAGAAUUUUUAACAUUAAACUAGGUUAUCCUAGAAUUUUUAACAUCUAGAAUCUCUCUCAGGACGCUUUUAACUACUGUAACUGAAUUUUUAUUAUAAUAUGAUUACAGGUCUACAAAUGGAUUUUUUAAACUUAGGAUAUCCUAGAAAUAUGGACGACGAGAAAAACAUCUUGAGGUAGAACUAAAACCUUUUCAACCAUAUGCAGAAAAUUAUUGGGGAUAUUCAGAAUAUUCUAAAUGUAUUGGGCUGUGGUAUAAACUUGGACCUUCCCUAUGGAUACAAAAAAAAAUUUGCAUAACAUAAGGCAUAACUAUAAGGUUGAUCUGGUCGCUAGCAUAAUAUCAUUUCUCAAACUAGGACAGAGUUUCAUAAUUAAGACAUUUACAUUAAUGUGUUACGAAGUAUCAUUUUCUAAAGUCGACACAAGAUAUUCGAUCGAAACACUGGCUUCUAAAAGUUUUUUUUCUUCUGCAGGAUGGAUCCAGAAAUGACUACAUGAAACCACAAUUGUAAAAUGUUAUUGCCCUACCUAAAUUUCUAACUAUAAUCAAAUUCAAUUACUCCAGCAGACACAAGUAAAUUAAAUGGUUACAAUUUUCGAUUUUCAAUUUGGAGAGCAAUCUAGAUUUACUAUACAUAGGUAUAGUAUAUACAGCUCCAAACCAUAAUUUUAAUUCUUUUGGAUUGUCUAAACAGAUCAAUGGGGAGAAUAAUGUAGCCCGAAAACUAGGUAUUUUAUUUUUCGGCAUAUUCUAUUUAUCAUCGUCGAGGGCGGUUAGACGUUCAUUAAAAUUACAUAUUUUUGCAGAUUCUGACGAACUAGUAUUAGAUACAAUUCAAACAACAAAUAUGGAUUUACACACACCAGACAGGUAAUUUAUGUGUUUGAACACAAUAUACUACUGAUGAGGGUGAAACCCGACCAGUGCUCCAAGACGCUCCAGCAAGCGCCAGGCGGGGAACUCCGCAGGAAAUUGGACCGGAACUCAAGUGUGCAGAGCUUCGCUUCGCUAGGACUUCUCCACUCCAAAUGACCUGCCUUUAAUGAGUGGGGGGUGCCUCCUAUUUAUAGGGAUUCUUAUGGGGGUAAUCUGGUCAUUUGGGCAGUAACCGCCUAACUGAUCAGAUCGGGUCCCAAAGUCGACUUUUCAGAGAUCGACUUUCCUGGGAUCGACUUUUGAGAAAAGUCGAUCCCAGGGAAGUCGAUCCUUGGGAAAGUCGAUCUUCCUAGGAUUCGACUUGGGACCUCCCAAUCCCAGAAUAGGUACCUCAACUCAUCUCAGGCCAUCCGGACUUCUAGUUGCUGGUAAGUUGUGACCGAGUUCGGGAUACUGUAUCACCAACUACAUAUAAGGAAUACAUAUUUUUGUUUGAUGUAUGAUGAUUGUGCUUCCCACAUCGUAUAUAUAUUACCGAAUGUUACUGAAUAUAUAGCUCAACUAACAGAGAAGAUCCAAAUGGAAGGUCUCUGGGCGAGAAUUUCAAUGAGGAUUGCAUCCGGUAAUCUAAUUCGGUGCUCAAAUUUACGUCACAGUAAUCAGAUGUCAUCUAUACUAAGAUAUUAAAUAAUUUUGCCUUUUCUUUCAGAAUCAAUGAACAUCCUAAUGUCGGUAUGACAUUCGACUCAAUAAAGGAGGCUGAAGAUAUUUACUACGCAUAUGCUGGGCAAAAAGGGUUCUGCGUGCGUAAAGGAUCAACUAAACAUUCGAAGAAGGGUCUCCGUAAGAAGACCUACGUUUGCGCGAAGGAAGGUACAUCUAAAGCCAAAAUUCCAAUAGUAGAAAAUCCAAGCAUUGUAUCUACAAAACCUAGAUACAUCAGAAAUUCGAGAACAGGAUGCAAAGCACUACUAACUAUUAAGAUAUACGGAGAUAGGUGAGUUAUAUCUGUUUUCAACGAUAAUCACAACCAUGAUUUGUCAACGCCGUCCAAGAAAAGGUUCUUGAAGAUAAAUAGGGAAAUUACCCCCCCCCGUAUGCAAGAAAUUUGAUAGGCAGUCUGGAUGCGACAAACAUACCUCCCAGUCAGCAAAAUUCGUACGUGGCUAUGCAGUCAGGGGGCUUCGCGAGCUGUCCAUUUACACAACAUGAUUUCUCCAACUACCGCUGCGACGAAAAGGAGAACAUGAAUAGUCAUGACGUCGAGACUUUAAUUGAGAAAUUUAAAGCACUAAAGGAACUCGACAAAAAAUACUACUACUCGUACCAACUUGACGAGGAAGGUAUGAUAUAAUUUCUCGCAAAUCUAAAUGAUCUAUUUUCAUUGGUAGUUAUCUGAAUCAUCUAUUUAUGUAAGAUCUUUGAAACAAUUAUUCUGGGCUGACCCAACAUGUAUCGAAGAAUAUAAGGAAUAUGACGAGGCUAUAACUUUCGAUACAACAUACAACACGAACAAGUACAAAUUAAUUAUUGGAAUUUUCUGUGGGGUGAAUAACCAUCUUCGUACUGUUCUGUUUGCUCUUCUCGGAGUUCAAAAAAUGCAUAGGAAAUUAUCCAAAGACAAUAAUCACUGACCAAGACACUGCUAUGAAAUGUGCUUUAUCUAGUGAGUUUCCGAAUGUGUUUCAUCGGCUAUGCAAGUGGCACAUUAUACACAAGAUGUGUGACAAGGUAGCUACGGUAUACAGAAAUAAGGAGGAGAUGGAGAGAUUCAACAAAAUCCUAAACACAUCUGAGAAUAUCGAGGUCUUUGAGAAAAAUUGGAAUUCUUGGACAGAGGACAAUAAACUUAAAGAACACAAGUGAUUGGGAGACAUGUACGCGAUUCGAGCACAAUGGUGUCCAAUAUACAUGACCAAACACUUCUUUGGUGGAAUGCAGAGCACGCAAAGAAGUGAGGGGAUGAAUUCACUAGUGAAGUUAAAUGUCAAAAUGUCAUCUACAUUGUUCGAAUUCGUUUGCUCACUUGAAGUAGUAUUGAAAGCACAACGCAACAGAUUGGAAGAACUCGACCACAAAGACAGAGAUGCACCCCCAUUACUAAUUACCCAACUGAAAAUAGAAAAAUGUUUGCUAUCGAUUUAUACAACAGAGGUUUUUUUACUCUACCAGCAACAGGUACAGAAGAGUGUAUGCUAUUAUGUCCGAGUAAAUCCAAAUGUAAGACUCCCUAAAGUUGAAAUAUAAUUUAUUUCAACUACUUUUAUUUUUAAAAUUUCUGUGCUUUCUUUGAACAGGAUAUGAAUGUCCACAUGGUCAUAGGGAUAUACUCUCAAAUUGAGUCUGCAAAAAUAACAUGCGGGCAAUCAAUUGAUACGCCUUCAUGUAGCUGUCAUCUAUUCUCUAGCAAAGCGAUUCCAUGCCGCCAUAUAAUUUGUUUCUUAACUUCAAAUGGGCGGACUGAAUUACCGGUGGAUUUGAUUUGUGAUCGUUGGAAAAUGACGGAAAAGAAAACAGUAAACCAGAGAGAAUCUAUUCAAAAAUCUGCAGGUAACGCCCUUACAACAAUUUUCAAUAGAUGCGUGAGAAUGAUUGCAAACAAUGCCGAAAUAGAAGAUGGGAUAAUUUCACGAAUGGAUGAAAUCUUAAAAGAAUUUGAAGAUAUGCACUCGACCACUAUCCAGCAAUCAAAUUCGAGAUCAAUUACCAGAUUUGAAGAUAAGAUAACUAGCCCGCCUUUAAUAGGAAACCCGAAGGCAGCAAAAACCAAAGGUAGUGGGAAAAACACUGGACGACCUAACAAGGCAGACCCGAGGUUUAAAUCUACCCGGGAAAUUAGAGUUAAAAAACCAAGAUGUUGCAAGAAAUGUCAAAAACAAGGACAUAACGUAAGGAGUUGCGCGGUAGAUUAACAUAAAUGAUUCAGAUGGAGAGAACUAUUUAAACGUCAUUUAUUGAAACUUCUUGUCUAUCGUACCUAGAUAAUAAAUUCUGCAGAGGCAAUACCUACUAGUUAUUUACUUCUACUUGCAGUUUUUUAAUUAGAAAUACAUUCUUCUUCUCUGUAUAUUGUGCAUUGUACGAUCCUAGACUUUAUUGCUUUAUGAUCAAAACAAAAUACAAUGUCUGCAGAUAAAAAUGAGUUCAAGAAGGAAAACACGGCAGCAGAACUACAAAUACUGAAUUUGUGGGAAGGUUUCACUUUCAAAGUAGCUUUCUUAGAUUUCUAGAUCUAGAAAAUGCUAUAAGAAAUAUAAAUGGAUAAGGCCAAGGACGAUUGCUUCCGAAGAUGAUGGAGUCUUCUUUAACUUGCUAUUAUGAAUUAGAUAUUUUGAUUAGAAUAUUUUUACUUUGAAAUCUUGAAAUUGCUCAUAUGAGACCAGAAAACAUUGCUAACAAUAUGUUCUUAAUUCUUCUUUCUGUAUAUUUAUUUUAAAAUUCAGAAUCUUUAUCAUUUACCACAGGACCAUGGUCACAGGAUGAAUUGCAACAGUUCUUUGAUUUGGUGAACUUGGAUUAUCGAAUGAGUUUUGCAGAAAUAAAGGAUUCAGAGCAUGGCAUGGUACUAGUAAAUUUUAUGAUUUUUUCUUCUUCUUUAACCCUUCACAUUUAAAACUUAUUUUUAUGUUAUUCUUUUCGAUAGCUGAGGGAUAACAUUUCAUGUGGAGCAAUCAGCAACAAGAUCACCACAAGACUACACAAAGAUUGUUGCCUAAAAUUAUUGACUAUAUAUAACCAACUAGAUAGGGAGCGCGCGAUUUUGGGACGGCCACCCGUCUGUGAAGCGUAGUGUAUAUAUAUAUAUCUGUGGGUAUUCGGCUACAAAUUUAAAGAAGCAUAUAUGAAAGGUAUAUCCGGAGCCAUGACAACAAGAGAUGCCAAUUUUAUAAAUGAACUUCCGCCUGGUUUUAGAUUCCACCCAGCAGAUUGAGAGGUCAUAGAUGAGUACCUGAAGAAAAAGAAUCUGCAAAGAAGCUACAAUCCAAGAGGGAGGUUGAUUUGAACAAGUGCGAGCCAUGGGAUCUUCCAAGUAAUCCAUCCAUCCUUAAUCAAUCUUCAUAUUUCAGUUGGUGUAUAUGUUCAUCGAUCUUCAUAUUUGUACUAUCAUUUUUUUGUCUGCAGGUAAGGCCAAGAUGGGAGAGAACGAAUGGUACUUCUUGACAGCUAUUUCUUGAAAUAAACGAUGAGUUCCAUGAAAAUAAUUUCUAGCGUUUAAAAAAAAAAAAAAACAGACUUCAGAAAUUAGAAGCUUGUUAAGCUAAAGAUGUUGAUUGGGACAGUCUUCUUGAACACAGGUGGUAAUCAAAUUUUACUCUUUUUUUCUAUAAAGGAAUUUUUACGUUAUUUUAUGUUAUUUACUGGGAAAGUUUUUGUAAUUAUUCUGACAGGAGUGGCGAUAUUUGUCGGACUCGUUAGGAGGAAAUGACCAAGUACAUAGGUGGACAUCAAGAAAAAUCCUGCAUGGCCCAAGUUGAUGUCCUUUCUAAUCGUUACUAUCCUGAAAUGUAUGAAUACAGGGGUAAAACGAAAUAAAGAUGAAGACAAUGAGAAUAAUAAAGACAACGAACAUAUGAAAACAUUGAGGGGGGCAGUUAAUGAGCACAACAUGAGUUUUCAAAAUUAGGAAUCAUUUUUAAAUUUCAUGCAAUGAUUUUGUAAUGACUCUUUAAACUAUUAAUUCCUUUUUAUACAAUGACAAUGUAAUACCCAAAAAAGUUAGAUAGACAGAUGUACAAUUAAAAAAAAAAGAUUGUUUAUACUCUCCUGUUAUUUCCAUUACCCGGAAUGUGUAAAAUGGUGAGGAAGACAGGAAGUGCAUUCGCCUAUAAUUAGAAAAAUAUGUAUAAGAAUUCCAAUAGCAACAGGUACUACGCUUCACAGAAGGAUGUCUCCAUAGCCAGGGCAGUAAGUACAAUUUGUAGUUUAUACAUAUCCUCAAGAUAUAAAAAAUUUCAUUUAUUUAUAAUCAAUUGACUGUUAGUUUUCGUGAAAUUGGGCAAACAAACAUUUGAUACAUCCGAAGAUCUAUUUAAAACCUAACUUCAUCUACCUGAGGUUACAAGAUCAGAAAACUACAAGUUUACAAACUAAUAAAAUUCUACAAAAAAAGAAUUUCAUUUGGGUUUCCAAACCCUAAGGUUCUCAAAGAUAAUCUCCUUCGUCAUAUAACGUGGCAAAGUCAUGCCCGUCUUUUGAUAACAUCUAGUCUUCAUUUUCUUGACAUAGAGUUUCAUCUUCAUGAUAGUUACUUCUCUCUCACAGAUGUAGUUUUAUCAUCUCCAUGUUCCAUCAGUAGUUAAGCGAAAACUGGUUGCUGCUGCCCAUAAACGAAAAAGAUCCGUAAUAAUUUAGAAUGAAUAUAACUAUACAUGAUAAUGAAUUGAUUCUUCAAUGGUCAUUGGGAUAUAAAAUUAGAAAGUUAUAAUUACUUCAUUUUUCUUUUAAUAUGCUUACCUCCAAGCACUUUAAUACAUCCAAACACUAAAAACUCACAUUGAGAAUUGCAAUCUGGAUGUUCAAAUUCAGAGAUGCCAUCAAUCUGUAUCAGAAGAAGAAAAAAAACGAAGAGGAGCAUACAAAACAUCAAUUUGUUUUCCAAAUCAGAAAAAUACCUGCCUCUGCUUCAUGUGCUGAGCGUUGAACAUAAGGAUAACCAAGCAAUAGUACAUCCACUGUGAUUUCUAGAAGAGAUAUAUAUUUGCAAAACGGACCGAGUAUAAUAAAUGGCACGGUGCGAAAAUGAUUAAAAUUUUCAGCAUUAUAUGUUAAUAAAAUGCAUCACAUUAUAAAUUGAAGUUCGUGUUUUCCUGGUAGGCAAAAAAUUUCUAAUCCAGACAAAAAGAUACGCAAUAUUCAAAUAGCUAGGGGAAUAUGUCAUGCGUAAGUACAAAAAAGGUCGAUGAAACGUAGCAGAAUUUAAUUAGUGGACAUUAACAUUAGGUAAAAUAAGGUACUAUACUAUCUUCGUUUGAAUCGAUUGUUGCGCCUAUUAAUUAAAUUUUCCAUUUUAACAUUCCAGUCACCAUACUCCAUUCUCUCAGAUAGUCUACGAAAUAAGCAGUUUCUUAUUUUCGGUACUUCUGACUUCUUCCAUGUCAUGUGCUCCUCCAGACUAAUAUUGUUGAACACACCAUCUUCAAUGUGCAAAUAAUCAAUCAAACACGAUAUUCCAUGUAACAUGUACAAUCCACCAUCCAUCUUCGGGUUGAUCUCUUGGGGAUAUGUCAUACAAUCAAUGAAUUCGGGUUCACUGUGUCUAUCACUGAAUAGGAAAUCUUGAAACCAUUUGGUCAUCCAUAUAGCCUGUAAUACGAUAUGCGCAAAAAUCACAUACAAUACUAAGAAAUUUAAAAGCUUUUAAUAACUUAAGGUACGCUUCGCAUACCUUCUCAGCAUACAAUAACUUAAUUUUUCUAUAUCUUUUUCUAUAUAAAGAUAUAGAAAAAUAAAAUAAAACUACUAACAGUACAGCAUUAUAUUCGUAGAACUUGAAGAUAACCACUGACCAUAACAUCAUAUGGUUUGUACUACAAUAUAUCGUUCAGAUGUUGCCCGAAACAAGUAACACUAUUAUUGGUAAUUAGGAAAAAUGAGAGAGACCUGGACCUGUUGUGUGAACAAAUUACUAUAGUUUAACACAUGAUCUGAUUUUAACGAACCAAAUCACUUACUCAGGUUUCAUGACAAGAUGUUUCGUCUCUUCAUUCAACUUAGGAACGAGUCGUCCGUUGUUGGUAGCAAUUAGGUGUAGUUCUCUUUCCUUCUUCUUCUUAUUUACAAUCUGUAGUUUCAGAAGAUGAGAUUAACAUAGUCAGAUAUUAAAUUAGCGGGAAAUAGAUGCUGAAUAAAAAAUGAGAUAAGUACCUUCUCAGCAUUUCGGUCCUUCAUUCGUUUGAUCAUAGAUGAAACGAAGGGUGAAUUUCGACUAGGCAAAUCGUUUUGGGAAAAAUUAAUCCUACGAACCACGUCCCGAAACUUCUCCUGUUUCGAAACUAUUCUGGGAACUCAACGUAUUCUCUAUUGCAUCAGCAGACACAGCAGCAGAUGCCCAGAACUCGGGCGAAGAUACGAAUAUUGAUUUUAAUGGUGGAUUUCCAACAUUCAACAUGGGUGUCCUAAGACCAUCGUUGUUUUCUUUUAUUUUUUCAGGACUUGUAAAGUCCAAGUUCAAACGCAAUUGAGUAAAAGUCAUUCCAUUUGGUUUCUGUAAUGGGACUUUCCUAUACCUAGCAUCAUUAACCAACUGGUUGUACAUGGACUGUCCUUCUUCUACAACAAGUAUCAAAUUUGAUUUCGAAUAGGCAUAGGGAGUAGACGAUUUCACUACUGAAUCACUCAAUAAAUUUACUGGAGAAUUCGGGACAAAGGAAGAUUGUGUUUUAUCAACCACAUCCAUAUCAAAUUGGUCUAGAAGAUCAAAACUAGGGGGACAUAUAUGCUCAUUGGCAGGAGGAUGUACAACGUCUACAUGAUCAUUAAUGAUCAUAGGAUGUGAGGAAGAAACACAUUCACUGAUUGACUUAUUGGUUUCCUCAUUAUGGGCAUUUACAGAGCUCAAAGUUUGGAGAUUUGCUGACUUAUCCAUUCCUUGAGGAGGGGGAUAAGCAGAUGUUGUGGGAAUUUCGUCAGAUUCGAUAUCUAGAUUUUGGCAGGGUUCUACAAGCAUGUAUUCAUACAAUUCUAAACCUUGAAGAAUAACUGGACUUUCUAUUGUCGGGUAAUGUUCAUUGAUAGAAGGAUUCUCAUGACAUGCUAACUUCUCGUUCAUCUCAAUGCAAUUAAAUAAUUCAUUCAUGGGAUUAUCCGGGUCCGAAUCAAAUGUCGGUGUAGGUGACGGCGUACACAGAUCAACAACAGUUGAGACGUCCAACUGUAGGUCUAAAUUUUUUCCGUCAAUCGGUAUAGUGGAUUUCUUAUUAGCACAUCCUUUUUGGCCUUCUAAUAAAAAGAUAAUUUAGCGUUUUUGAUUUACCAUAUUAUAAAACUAUUUUUACGUACUUUACUUACCUGGGGAAGAUGAUUUUCGAACAGCCUUAUCCUCUCUGCACUAAUUCUCUCAAAAAGGAAUGAUUAGAAUUUACCAUUUUCGGAACAAAAAUUAAUUGAUUGAACUCAUACCUUUCUUAAAAUUGAUUGUUGCUUGUAAUUCUUGUACAAUGAAUAAAUUUCAUCAGAGUUGGUUGAAAAAGAGGCUUGCGAGACAUCUGACGAAAAUUGGUAUAAUGAAAGGUAUAAAAAAAAAUUAUGAACGAUACUCGGAAUAAAAUUUCAUUAGACAUAAAAGUGUACAUCAAAUAUCCUAAAAUGAAGCACAUAAAGGUCUAACAAGGACAGGAAUACAUCAUAACAUCAUUUUAUAUAGGGUGGGUUUCAUUUCUAACCACCUAAGAUGGCUUGGUGAUCAAAUCUACCCACCAAGCCUACUAACUUAUGGUUAGGGUGUGUUAUUUAUUUUAUUUUCCUGAUUUGCCCUUCUUAAAAUUAAGUAGCAGAUUAGACCAAUUUAUAUACCUGUCUUGAUAAACCCGAUAACCCGGUAUUCUAGCAAUGCCACCGGCUUUUCCUCCAACCCAUCAUUUUGCGUUAUCACCUCCAACCCAUCGGAAUCAAUGGCGGAGGAGGCUGUUCCGAUCAGGGAGUAUUCCGAAAGAGUACCAUCUCCCGCAUCCAGAUGUGUUGGAGGUCAGUCCCAAAGUGCCGAAGAGGAAGAGGGUUUCUAUUUCGCAGUCAGACUGCGAUUUCAUCACACCGGUGAAGAAAUUCAGUAGUGAACUAGCAGCGAUAACAAGAGAGGUCGGUGGGAAGCUGAUGAUGUUGAUAACCCACCCAUAAAAAAAUGGGUCAAACAGAUUAACAGACUCAAAUCUGAUUUUCAUUUUUUGACAUCUUUAGUUUGUUCCAAUCAAUAGUACGCCAAAUCAUCUUCCGAAAUGGCAAGCAACCCAUUUCCGAAAUGGCAAGCAACCCUUACCAGGAGAGAAGGAAGGGUAUAGCGUGGUCUGAAGAUGAACACAGGUUGUUCCUUCUUGGGCUUGAUAAGUACGGGAAGGGAGAUUGGAGGGAGCAUAUCGCGAAAUUUCGUCGUCUCAAAAACACCCACGCAGGUGGCAAGUCACGCGUAGAAAUACCUCUGUAUAUAUUAUAGCCGUUGUCGGAUACCUCUGUAUAUAUUCUUCCUCUUUCUCGCCCUUCCGGUGUUGCCAUAUUUCAGCACCGUCACCGUUGCCGAUAUUUCUGCAUCAAAAACAAAAACCAAAUGAAACCCAAUUCCUGAAAUCCAUCAAUAUAUAUAUAUAUAUAUGAUCAAUUACCAACCGGAUCUUGUUGCGAAAGCCAAGGGUUUAACAGCAGAAGACUCGUCUUCAUCUGAGUCAUCAUUGAAAUCCUCGAAGUCGGCUUCAAAGUCGGCAUCGAGAGGGUCAUCGGCGAGAAUAGCAGUGAGAGAUUCAGAUGGGGGAAUGCCAACCAGACCGUUCACCAUCACCACCUUGCAAACCCAUCGCCGUCUUCUCCUUGUCUUUCUUUCUAGGACAACAAAACACAGAGGAUAACGAGGCAGGAAAGGGAGGGCGAUGGGUGGGUUCUUUUUCUGCCCGUUACUGACAAUGGCAUGGAAAGAAAAUUUAAAAAAAAAUUAAGGGUAAAAUGGUCAUAAAAAUUAUAGGUGGGUAGUUUUAACUCCUAAGCAACCUUAGGUGGUUAGAUUUAACAAUUUUCCAUAAUAUAAAUAUGUAUAUGUACUAACCUAGAUGACUCGAUUAACCAAGUCAUGUCAACCCUUGUAGUAUGGUGGUGAGCAUAGUAAAAUUAACAGUAAUAUAUAUAUCCCAAAAUCUUCUCUUAAUUACAAUCAUACCCUCUAGCUCACCGUUGUAUUUCCGACCGUUGCGCAUCACCUCCAAACUACCAUUAUAUAAACCGACCUUCACCUCCUUCAAUUUCACCAAUACAAUCUAUCAAUUAAGCACACGACGAUCAUCAUCUACAAUACAACACCACGAUCAUCGUCAACUAGCAUUCAUCAUCGUAAUAUUCCCGUGCAUGCCUUCCAUCACUGUCGCCGCUGCACUUCUGCAUCAUUGUCGUCGUCGCUGCAUUUUCUCAUCGUCGUCGUAGCUGCACUUCUUCAUCACGUCGUCACUGCACUUCGCCAUCAUCUUCGUAGCAGCUCUUUCAUGGUAUCAGAGCGGACCGCGUGAUCUUGCUCAGAAUAAUCACUAUCGUCUUUCGUCAGAAACAACAAAAACAAUCGGAAGUCUGUUCCCAGAUCGUGACUCCAGAUUUUCAGAUCGUCUUUUCUUUCUUUCUCAGAUUUCCAGAUCGCAGAUUUUUUCCAGAUUCCAACGAUCGCAUUUUCUCUCUCUUCUAAAUACCAGAUCGCAGCUUCGAUUAUAGGUCGAAGCUCCAGAUCGAGACUCCAGAUUUUCAGAUCUCAUUCUCAAAUCAAAUACCAGUUGUCCGUGUCCGUGACUGCUGAUUUAUUUUUAUUUUUUUUCACCCUCCACCGCCUCCCUUUUUGGGUUUCUUUUGGCUCCAGAUCGUGACACAUCAACACUUUGGGAUUUUUUUUUAUCACCACCAAAUCAAAAAAAAAAAUCACACUUUGGAUUUUUUUUUAUCAACCACAAACUCCAAAAUCAACUACUAAUACCAACACACCGACGACCAAUAUAUUACCACAUCGACGACACCUAACGACCAUUACAUCCGAAAUGGCAACUGCUGAAGAAGCAAUAUUGAAUUCAGAAAACUCCUAUCACCUAUCAAGCGGUGACAACCCAAGUCUACAAAUGACAGACAUUAAAAUGAAUGAAACAAAUUAUCAAAUUUAGGUUAUCCACUUCCGACGAGCUUUGUCUAAUAAAAAUAAAUUAAGUUUCAUCAACGGGAGCCUACCAGAACCAACAGAUAAAGACCCAAAAUACAACGCAUGGAAUCGCUGCAACGAUUUAGUAAUCGCAUGGAUGUUAAAAAGCAUGGAACCAUCACUCACUAAUGAUUAUCUCUAUCAAACAAACGCUUCUGUUUUAUGGGAAAAGUUCAAAAGUAGGUACGAAGUUACAAGCAUCUUCAAUCGCUAUGAAUUAAAACUGAAACUGACCCAAUGCUGUCAAGGGAAUGAGACGAUCGCCCAAUACUCUACAAGGCUAAAUGCGAUUUGGGAUGAAUUGGAAAACCAGAAGAGUAAAAAAUGUCAAUGCUGCAUAUGCACCGCUGACUGCAAAGAAGAUAAGAUCAUAGCACUUCUGGAAGGUUUACACGAAUCUUACAAAACCGUACGGGGUAACAUUCUCAUGAUGACACCAACUCCGGACAUUGACCAAAUCUACAAACUCCUCUCUCAAGAAGAACAUCAACGGGGAAUAUCAUCAACACCCACAAUCACUUCUGAAUCCACAACACUUUUCACACAAAAGAAAUCAACAUACAAAACACCAACCACCAAUAACGGACAAGUCUGUACAGGAUGCAAAAUGCCGGGACACAUCGUCGACAACUGCUACUUCUUACAUGGAUUUCCGAAAGGGCAUCCGCUCCAUGGGAAAGUCUUCACCCGGCGCGAAAAAAAUCACAACAAAGACGACCGACGAGAUGACACUAUGGAUAAUCGUCGCUCCUACAACCAACGUGACAACCGACAUACGACUGAUCGCAAUCACAAUAGCAACAACUAUCUGAGUAACACAACGGAAAAUGCCUCUGAAACAAACAACGUCAGGACAACAUCAAGCAACCCGAUCUCCACAUUAAUACAACAACUAUCAAACAUAUUGUGACUUCUCAACAAUCAACAAAACAAUGCUGCUCCACCGGAUAACAAAAGCUACUCCGACCACGCAGGAUAUUUUGGAGGACGAACCCCCGUCGAUUUGACACCUGCAUCUCAAUCUUAUAUGGCACAUUCCACAACAGGUAUACCUCAUCCAUUUUUCCAUACUCAAUACUUAGCUUUUUCAUUGCACAAUCUGGAUUGUAGAUACAGGCGCAACCGACCACAUGGUUAUACCACAAACUACAUUACAUAACAUUCAACCACUCCCAAAAUCAAUUAAAGUUGGUUUUGCGGAAGAUCGCACAAUAACAGUUACUACAAGUGGGUCUUUCCAAAUAUCCAAGGAAAUAGUCCUACACAGUGUUUUGCAUAUACCAACAUUCACUGUGAAUCUUUUAUCUGUCAGCCAAUUCACACUCCAAACAAACUGUAGUUUCUCCUUCUAUCCUAAUUCCUUCAUAAUACAGAAUGCCCAAGGAACAUUGAUUGACACAGGUAAGAGAAUCAGUGGACUAUACAUCCUGUCAGUAGCCGACUUCAACAAAAUGAUGGCUACUACACCAUCACACGCUCUAAUUUCUAGCACAAAUCCGGAUACGUGGCAUGCAAGAUUAGGCCAUCCUUGUCCCACCAAGUUUCGUUUUUUUCACAUUAUUAAUCCUUAUAUUCCUCAACAAAAUGAUAUAUUUUGUCAUGAUUGCACUAUUUCUAAACAAAAAAGAUUACCUUUUCCAUUAAGCACAUCUAAAAGUAAAGAACCACUUGAAUUAAUACACAUAGAUACUUGGGGUAAAUAUCAUACCCAACUCAUCAUGGACACACCUACUUCCUCACAAUAGUAGAUGAUUUCUCUAGGUUGACCUGGAUUUUCUUAUUACACAAUAAGCUUGAGAUUACAUCGUUUUUUUCUCAAUUCAUCAUUGAUUGCCAAACUCAAUACAACAAAAGGAUACGUACAAUUCGAACUGACAAUGGAACCGAGUUUACCAACUCUACAUUUCAAGAUACAAUUCGAAAAUAUGGAAUCCUACAUCAAUUAUUUUGCCCCUACACUCCCCAACAAAAUGGGAGAGUAGAAUGGAGAAACACCAACACAUCUUACAGGUGGCAAGAUGCCUCAAAAAUAAGGACUCUAUUCCUGAUAUCUAUUGGGGUGAAUGCGUUAUGACAUCAGUUUACCUAAUCAAUCGCACUCCCACCCCAAUACUCAAUGACUCAACACCUUUCUUUGAGUUUUUCGGAACGCAAUCUGCUCUUACACACCUAAGAGUUUUCGGUUGCCUCUGCUAUGCCAAAAUCAACCAUCCCAUCACAAAAUUCCAACUUAAAUCACAGAAAGGAGUGUUUUUGGGUUACUCUUAUCACAACAAAGGAUAUAAAGUUCUCAAUCUUGACACCUCCAAAAUCAUUGUCAGCCGUGAUGUGAUCUUUAAGGAGGAUUCUUUCCCAUUCCACAACACCACUUCCGCAACAGAUCAGACAGAAAUCGUUGAUAUUUCCUUUGAUUUUGGUGACCCUUAUAUCUAUAAGGACGACCUGGCAAUACAACCAAGAGCUAGUAUUAUAGAAAAUGAACAUCGAUCUGAACAAUCUAGAACAGACCCAAGAGCAUCUAGUUACUCCAGAACAAGAACACCAUAGUGAGGAAGAACGACCAACUCUAACAGCACAUCCAACCACAUCAAACAUAAAUGAAAUAAAUAUCGUAGAAACCAUAAGAGAACGAAAACUCCCAACAUAUCUUCAUGAUUAUGAGGUCAACAUACCUGAUGAAGCACUGAAUUUGCUACUAGGGCUCGCAGUAUACCAACAUAUGAGCGAAAUCCUAUGAGCAUAUCGGACAACGAGUAAAAACCCCACGGGCAACACCCCUUUCGCUAUGACCUAUGGAGUGGAAGCAGUCAUACCAAUCGAGAUGAGUAUACCAACAUAUCGAGUCUCGAAGUACGACGAACAAACAAAUGACCAAAACCUAGCUACAGAGGUAGAGUUGAGGGAUGAAACCCGUGACGAGACGAACCUGCGGAACGAAUCAUACAAGGCAAGCGUAUCAAGGUACCACAAUCGUCAAGUACGCAAAAAAGUCUUCCUACCAGGAACUCUCGUCACGCGGAAAGCUAGCAUAACAGAAAGGAAUAGACCAAGAAAUAAACUGUCAUCCAACUUCGAAGGUCCCUACAUCGUCGAAAAGGAGAUAAGGCCAGGAACUUAUCGCCUACGGCGACAGGAUGGAACAAUGGUUCCAAACACUUGGCACGCGGACAACAUGCAGCAGUACGCAUAGUACUCAUCACAUUACGUUUAUUUUCUUUAAUUUUCCUAGUAUGUAUGUUAGUUAAUCAUAGAAUUCUUUCUUCAUAUUAUAACCCGCAAGGAUACCCUAAAAAAUCUAUUUUGUCGCUUCGGCCUCAGUAUAACAAGGAUCAUUCCGUCGCUACGGCUUCAAUGAUCCUAUCCCAUCUUGUCGCUUCGGCCUUGAUACGGAUCAACAAGUCACUCCAUCACUAGGACCAGAGUCAGACUACAUCCUCAAGGUUCAAAUCCAGGGUUAGUACGAACAGGUCCAAUUUAGGCAUGCAAGCCUAGAAUUGCAACCACAACCCUCAUUCGCACGGACGAAUAAGGAAUUAGUGGGUGUUACAUCAAUUUAUCACUCAAACUAUUUUCAACUCUAAAAGUUAAUUUAGAAGUAUAAAUCAUUUUCGAGUUUAACUAGCAACUAAACUACGAUUUGUACGACCAAGCUUAUGCCUGAAGCGGCUAAGUAGAGUUAGCAGAAUCUAACUUACAUCCAGAGCGGUUAAGUUAUGAUUUGUGAAUCUAGUUUCAAGCUUACAACUUUAAAAUAUUUAUACAAAAAAUUAACAAAAGCAAAAUAGUUCAUUGAUUGAUAAAAAUAACAAAAAAUCCACUACAAAAUUACAAAAAAUCCACUUUAAGUCUAAUCUUCUUCUUUCCUCGCUUCCCGAACAUCGCUCUUUAUCUUAUCAAGAGCUUCUUUGUGCUCCAGCUUCACUUCAGGAUGUUCUUCUAGCCACAUCAUAAUAUCAGUCACAAAGUUGGCAGGCAAACUUGGAAACACGUGAGGACCAAAAAAGUUUAAGUCCUGGAGUUGGUCAAAUUGAUCGUCAACCUCAAACUCCAAAUCCUUCACUUUUUCAGAAGAAGCAUCUAGAUCUUCUUUCAUCUUUCUCGACUCCUCCGUGGAUUCGGAGAAGCGGUCAUUCAGAUCCUUUAGGUCAGAGGUGGACUUGGAAAGAUCUACUUGAAGCUUCUGAAUUUGUGAUUUAGAAGCCAUCGCAUUGCCAACCUCCGCAUUCAGCUGCACUUUCAGUUCUUCAAUCUCUUUCAGAGCACCAGUGAGACGCGAUUCAGAUUCCUUCAAAGAGUCACAUUCUUGGCGAAGAGUAGAAAUCUCAAGUCUGUGUGUGCCACACUCUUUAUCCUUCGCCAUCAUCGCUUUCUCAUGCUCAGCAGCUUUUUCUUCCAAUUUUUUGUUGUUUUGGAAGACUUUUCUCAUCGACCACACUUUUUUACAGACAGCUUGAUACUUGUCAUCAAGCUUAUCAUAUUCUUGUUGGGAUCGAAACGUGUCGUUACAUGACUGCAUCCCAACAGCAACAUUCGAUAGAUACGCAACCUACAAAAAAAACAAUUAAAUUAGCACAAAAAUACAUAAGUUAAAUAAGAUGCGAGUUUAGGUCACUUACAGCAGAUAGAGCUUUAGUGAGCUCCUCUCGUAUCCAAUCUCCAGGCUUGGUCAAUAAGAUCUGGGUAGCCCUCGAUCGCACCUCCGCAUCCGCAAACAGGCUCGGAUAGUCAAAGGUGGUGUCACAUCAGAGAAGGUAAAAUCCUCACGCUAACACAAAGCGAAAGGAAACCCUUGACCACAUUUGUAAGCAGCAAGGGCUGAGGAGAUCUUCUUCACAUGCUUUAAUUCCGCCUUACUCAGUUCGCAAGGAACAUCCAAGUGUACGCGCCGAGUGUUGGCCCAGCCCUCUCGACUCCCGCGUACAAACAUCUAGUCAACAAAAAAGAACUCACUCUUCCACUGCGGUCCAUAGUUAGUGGGGAGUUCAAUGAUCAAUUCACGCCCAUGAAACCGUUUAGCUAACCCCAACCGACCAGAUUCGGAAGCGGGAGCCUUGACAAGUUUGUAGACCCAGAAAAACAAGGCAGCGGUUGCAGGGAUAUUCAAACUCCAACAGAUGUUGGAGAAUCCUCUCAAGUAUAUAAAGAAUGCUGCCUGCAUCUGUGACUGCGAUACGCCAGCUUGUAGCAGCACUUCACUCAUCAGUAUAGGGAUGGGUAGCACGGAGAAGUGUCUGAAGUAGAGUCGGGGGAUCGCCUGAAACCCCGCAGGAGGAAGGUUCGCAGGUUGAUAUUGCGACCCCCAAAAUCGCAAGCGCCCAGAGAUGCGUACCCCUCGCAGAAUGUCUCGGGCUUCGCGUGCAGACAUGACAGAAAAUGGAUGCACGGUGUCUGUUUACGAUACAAGGGGAGAAUUUAAAGAGACUUCUUCAAAGGACCCCUCGCUCGCGUCGCUUAGGGGCAGCAGCUUAAUCUCAUCACCCGGCAAAGUUUCACAGUAAGCGUAGCCGGUGUAGUUCUCAACUCCCUCAUAGAAGGGAAGGUUAAUAUGAUCUUCAUCCUUGUCCACUUCCGUGGGAGGAGGAAGAGUCUUCGAUCCUUCAGCCGGAUCAGGUCGACGUUGGCUUCAACCGCGGUCCAAUUCCAAUUCCUGAUCGUAGUCAAAGGGCUCAGGAACCCGUACACCCUUCGCGAGGGGGAUGUGUGUCUUUCCCUUACCCCCCAUCCCAUAAGUGGGAGGAAUGGGGGUACUACCCUCGCCACCUUCGCGAGAAGAGUUCUUCGCAUGUUUUGGAUGUUUUCGUUUUCUUUUCUUACUCGGCCUCUCAGAUUCAGCAGUCGGCCUCUUGCCCAUGUCAGUAGAUGUCAAUCCCUCAGUAUGGGUGACCAAAACAUCAGGUACCACCACCUGAAGGGGCACAUAUUCUUCAACAUCAGCCCCCGAGUUUUGGGGUAAUGUCGGCGAUUUAAGUGUCAAAUUCGUCGAUGUUUGAUCAGAACUCGCCGAUCUCAGGUUGAUAACUCGGCGAGGUCUCUUGAAAAUGGGGACACCCCCCUUGCCUUUAGUCGACGACUUCCCAAGGGGACUCGCCGAUUUAGGAGCAAGAGUCGAGGGAGUCUCGCCCACUUCAACAGAAGGCUCGGCCACUACUAGAGCCUCGAAGUCUUUUCCCAAACUCGCCGAUUUCUUGUUAGAACUCGGCGAUUGCUCGGGAGUGAGACCAAGCAACUCACGUGCAGUGGCACAAUACCUAGCGUCCGACAAUGCAUCAACAGCCGGAAUCUCCGACCCACCACGCGUAGGCGAGGGGAUCGGAGACUCAACGGUGUUGAGCACCGCCGCUAGGCUCUCAUCAAAGUCUGUGUUCAGAAUGUCGUCGACCAGAGCUUCGGUCUCCGACAUGGUGAGCUGAGGAAGUGUCGCUUUGUCUUCCAUAAGUCGGCGAUUUAAAGAGAAACUCGGCGACUUGGUGGAAGAUUAGUGUUUAGGCGAUUUGGGGAAAAUGAUGUGCGAAUUAAAAUAAUCGAUUCGCUAUUUAUAGACCCUGGACAAAUUGCAAAACUCCCUCGAAAAAUCCAAAAAUUACGCGAAGGAAAAUCGCUCAUUGAUCCUCAAAUCUCCAAAACUCGGCGAGUUACCCAUAAACUCGCCGAGUUUAGGCAAAAAUCACGGGAUACGGAAGGGAAACUUCCAUAUUUGGAAAAUUUGCAAAUAUUUCCCAAGAUCCCAUGGAUUUUCUAAGAAAUCCGCCAGCUCAUAGUAAGGAUCUCUGAAUUUGUAAGAAAGUCGCCGAUCCAGGUAGGCAAACUUUUAAGUUGCCCACAAAACCACCCCGAUGCCAAGUCGCCGAGUUAGAACGUUAAGUCGCCGACUUAGGGUAUCACAUAGCAUCUUAGGGGGGAGUAUCACAAGCUCCCUUCAGCGCAACAAAAGAAGAGUAUCACAAGCUCUCCCGACAUUUUUGUCGCUCCGGCCGGAAAUCGUCAAACUUCGAGGGGGAGUAUCACAAGCUCUCCCGACAUUUCUGUCGCUUCGGCGGGAAAUCGUCAAAUUUCGAGGGGGAGUAUCACAAGCUUUCCCGACAUUUCUGUCGCUCAGGCCGGAAAUCGUCAAACUUCGGGGGGGAGUAUCACAAACUCUCCCAACAUUUCUAUCGCUUCGGCGGGAAAUCGUCAAAUUUGGGGGGGGGGGGUAUCACAAGCUCUCCCGACAUUUCUGUCGCUUCGGCGGGAGAUCGUCAAAUUUCGGGGGGGAGUAUUACAAGCUUUUCCGACACUUCUGUCGCUCCGGCCGGAAGUCGUCAAAAUAAGCACGGUAAAUCUGUCGCUUCGGCGAGAUUUACCAAGGAUUGGUUCGAGCAAAAGGAGAAUACCACGAGAGGUAAAAUCGCACGGUAAGUUCAAUUGGUCAAUAAUCAUAUGCGUUUUAAAAUGAUCUAGUUGUUUUGCAGGAUGUUUUCUUUAUGCAGGUAUUAUUCUGUCGUUUCAGCCAGAAUCAGACUCUGAUAGUGAGUCAAUCUAUCUUGUCGCUUUGGCCUUGAUAGACUAGAGAUCAUUUUGUCGUUUUGGUCUUAAUGAUCUCAACCCAUCUUGCCGCUUUGGCCUUGUUGUGGACAUAAAGUCGCUCUUGAUCAGGGUGGACUAUAAACAUUAGUUCUAUCGCUUCGGCUAGAACUCAGUUCUAUCGCUUUGGCUAGAACCCGAUUUUGUCGCUUCGGCCAGAAUCAAGUUUUGUCGCUUCGACCGGAAUUCAUCUUGUCGCUUCGGCCUUGAUAAACACAGUGCAGUCGCUUUUGAUCAGGGUUAGACUAUAAACAGGUAGUUCCGUUGGCCUGGAACUCGAUUUUGUCGGUUCGACCCGGCAGAGUCAAUCUAUUUGUCGCUUAGGCCAUAAUGGAUACAGAAUCAGUACGUCACUGUGGGCGGAAUGAUUCGAUCUAUCUUGUCUCUUUGGUCUUGAUGCGGAUCACACAUAGAACCUUGGUUGGGGCGGGGAACUGGCGAUACAUGCAUGUUUCUUGUGCUCUCUUCAGGGGGGAGUACUGGUGAGACAUGCCUGAUUACGGCAGUCACUCCCAGCAACGUCUUUCAACAAGGACUAGGGUUCUGUCACUUUACGCCGGACCCCAGUAGAGCUCACAUGGUGCAGAAUAAGUUCAUCGUCCAAAUCGCCGAGUUAACCCGUAAGUCGCGAUUGGACUACCAAGUCGCUGACUUUAGGGAAAAAUCGCUGAGUUAGGGCCCAGAUCGGAAGUAUGGCAGACUGCACAUCUCGCCCCUGGAAACUCGGUGAGUUUGCCCUAAACAAGCGAUUUCCAUACCUGAAUCGCUGACUUACGACCGUUACUCGUCACCAGCCAACGCCAUAAAUGCUCCCAUAUAUGGCAAUAGGCUCGAUGUCCGCCUUUGAUCGCGCCCUCCGAGACCCUAUAAAAAGGGUCCCAAGGGGACACUCAAAGGCAAAACACAAGUUCCACUCUCACCAGAGCAUCACUAAGAAACUCGCCGAUUCUCACUAGAAUCGCCUAGUUUCUACUUGCAGGUAUUUGACGUAGAGCGCGUGUCGUGGACUCCAGAGCCUACGACAUCACCUCGCACCACCGCGAGCCCUGGUAGCAGAUUCAGUGUUUCAUCAACGGGCGUACAUGGACCGCUUCGCGAGUGAGGUGCAGAAAAUCGAAGGGCUAACGGAAAACGUGAUCUUGUACGCCCUCACUAACAGACUUAGGCCUACCUUCUUUGCGGGAGACCUCGUCCGGAAGCCACCGAAGAAAUUCGCAGAGGCCAUGGAGAGGUCCCACGGGGAAGCCAAUGUGGAGGAGUACUUGGGAGCGAGAACACAGGAGUUCAACAAGCGCCAACAAAAACCCAAGGGACCCCCAGCCGGAGACGGAGGGCACCAACAGCAACAACCGAAAGCCCCAGCAGCACCGGCGGCGUUGGCAUGCAAGGCCCCAGCGGCCAUUGGUUGGGGCCUUCGAGACGCAGGACCGACUCUGGCUGCUAACCAGUGGUAGUUUUUCCUCACCCUAGGAGGGGUGGGGAACCUCUCCCCAGCAAGAUCCAUGAGGAAGGACUCAGCAGGAUAUAGGGACGAGAGCAGAUUCUGCGAGUACCACCAGGACAAGGGCCACACAACCGACGAGUGCCUGAACCUGGCCAAGGUAUUAGGCAAACUCAGCGCCGCGCCUGAGGCCCCCCCGAUCCCGCCUAUCAGGAGGGCGGCGGUCAUCCCGACCGGCCAUCGAGUGUCCAAACAGGAGCUGGUCGAGGAACUAGUAGGGGAUAUCCUGACAAUAGCAGGAGGAGGCGCGUCCUGCGGCGCGGACCCAUGGGAGGGAUGCUGGUACGCCACGGACGUCGAUCGAACAACCGAAGGGAAGCACCCACGCCUGGAGGCGGAGAUCACGUUCACCGAGACGGACAUGAAGGACGUCACGACCCCCCACGAUGAUCCCCUGGUAGUAACCCCCGUCUUACAAAGGGGGGACAAGACCAAAGUGCGAUUACACAGGGUCCUAGUGGAUAUGGGGGCAUCAGUGGACAUCCUCUACUGGAACGCCUUCAUUGACCUAGGCCUCGCCCGCACGGACCUACUCCCAAGCAGGGCGUCAAUUAGGGGAUUCGGGUAGUCAGAAGUACCGAUGGCUGGUGUGAUAACAAUCCUGGUGACACUAGGACGCCACGCCCAGGAAAAAACGGUGGAAAUCAACUUCACGGUGGUAAAUUUCACCUCGAGCUACAACACCAUCCUGGGAAGAACAGCGUUGCACGCAUUCCAGGCAGUGAUGUCGUCCCUCCACCGAUGCCUAAAAUUCCCAACCAAGGCGGGCGUAUGCAUGGUGAGGGGGUCUCAGAAAAAAGCCCGCGAGUGCUACUUCAACUCAGUAGGGGAGGUGAUGACCUCGGACGAGGGGCUCUCACGCGCUCUACGUGAGGAGCCCCCGAAACCGGAGCAUGCGUCAAACACGGUGCUCUUACCCCUCGCCCGGAGAAAGGUGCGUAUGGGAAAAGGCCUCCCGAAGGAGCUGGAGAGGGGCCUAGAGACCCUCCUCAGAAGACACGAGGAUCUAUUCGCGGCCGAGCUAGGAGAACUGGUGGGAGUAGGCCAGGCACGACCGGUCCGACAAAAGCUGCGACCAUUGAGGGCGGAGAAAAGGGACGUGGCCGAAGCCGAGGUCAUGAAACUCCUGGAUGCGGGCUUCAUCCGGCCGGUGCGAUACCCGGAGUGGCUGUCCAAUGUCGUGAUGGUCAGAAAGGCGGAUGGAGGAUGACACACCCGGAGGAGUGUCGGUCGACGUUGGCCGGAGCGAAGUCGACGAGAACGGAAACACGAGGAAGACAGAGAUUAAUAAUAAUUUUUACUUGUAUUUAGUUCAUCGUUUUUAUGGAUUUUAUAGGGUCGCCCUUAUGUAAAUCGUGGGAUCGACCUUUUACAAUCAACCCACGAAGGGGUGUAACUGCCAUCAUGUAACCUAUUAAUAUUACAGAUAAUAUCUCCAGCUAUUGGAGCAGUUUCUUCCAAUAACCGCUGCCACCCUCUUCCCUAAUACCUCAGGGCCUGGGGUGUAAUUAACCUCGACUAAUUAUUAGUGAAUUUGCUGCCCGUAUAUUACACCUGGUACACGUCGUGCGCGGGCGGAACUCUUUGUGGUCGCUUGGGCAGUUGUCUGUUGAGGUCGCCGGUCGUAUCAAUCCCCGUCUCCUUAGUUUCGAGCUUGUCCUCAAGAUCGACUAAGUCUUUAGGAAGUAAUGCGACCUCCAUGGACUCUCCUGGAAUGAAUUUCUUCAGCAGAGACGAGUGAAAAAUAUUAUGAAUUCUCGCUCCCGUUGGUAAUUGCAGACAUACUGCAACCUCGCCUAUCUUCUCUGUAAUUGGGUUAUGGCCCAAAAAAUUUCCGUUCUAGCUUGUUUGAAUUCCAAGCAGGUACCGAGUUUUGCCUAUAUUUGUUUAGUUUCACCAAUACCAUAUCACCGACUUCAAACUUGGCGUCUGAACGCCGAUGAUCUGCCUUCUUUUUCAUGUCUUCCAUCGCUCUGUUUAGAUUUUGUUUCGCGAGCAGCAAAGCUUCCUCUCUAUUCUUUAUCGUAACGCCCGCUUCUCUGUCCUCUAGUGGGUUGUCUUCGUAGUAGAACGCAUGUGGUUUUCGACCAUAUACUAGUUCGAAGGGUGUCGUCCCUGUUGAUGAAUGCUUGCUAGUGUUGUAUCAUAGCUCGGCGGUGGAUGAAUUUUGCCCAAUCUUUAGGUUUGUCCAUCGCGAAACAUCUCAGAAAUUGCUGUAAACAUCGGUUCACGACUUCCGACUGCCUGUCGGUUUGUGGGUGGUAGGCUGAGAUGUGUAGUAAUUUUGUUCCAUGUUGUCUAAAAAUAGAUUUCCAGAAGCUGUUUAGAAAAAUUGGGUCGCAGUCUGACAAUAAGCUCUUCGGGAACCCAUGUAGGCGGAUAACCUCCUUGGAGAAUAGCUCAGCUACUGUGUUCGCAGUGAAGGGAGUUGCCAUUGAGAUGAAGUGGCUUGCCUUGCUUAGGCGGUCGACGACAACCAAGAUUGCUGUUUUCCCCAACGACGGAGGCAGAUGGGUUAUAAAGUUCAUCAUGAUCUCCUCCCAGACGGCCAUUGGUGUCGGUAAUGGUUGAAGUAACCCAGCGGGUUUGGAAUUGGUCGGUUUAACGGCUUGGCAGAUCGCACAUUCCCUUAUCCAUUGCUUUACCUCUUCAACCAUCCCUUUCUAGUAAAAGUUCCUUGAGAGUCUCGCAAGUGUUUCCUUCUGUCCGGAGUGACCCCCAAUCGGAGUGGUAUGUGUUUCGGAAAAUACCAAUUUGCGUAUAUCUUAGUUGUUGGGUAUCACGAUUGUAUCUUUGUACAAUAUUAAAUCUUUCCUGAUCGAAAAAAUUUGGGUUGCUGUCUUCGUCUGUCAUGAUUGAAGCUCUCAGUUUUCGGUAGUCCUCGUCGGAGUUUCCUGCUUCACUGAUCUCAUUUAAAAUCGAGGACAUCGGUAGUGAGAUGAUGUUCAAUUUUGGUUGAGUGUCCUCUGUCCCUUCGCCGCGCCUUGACAGUGCAUCGGCUACCGUGUUGAUUUUCCCUGGACGGUAGACGAUGUUGAAGUCGUAGCCUAGGAGGUUUUUCAGAUAUUUUUGUUGUUCUGGCGUCUGGACUCUGUGUCACUAACUCUUUCAAGCUCUGAUGAUCUGUGAUAAUGGUGAACAGACGGCAGACUAGAUAAUGCCUCCAUUUCUUCACGACUUCGACGAUGGCUGACAUUUCCUUCACGUAGGCGGACCCGUGUCGCAAAUUCGGAGGGUACCUCUUGCUGAAGAAUGACAGCGGGUGUCCUUGCUGUGUCAAGACGGCUCUCAUUGCAAACCCGGAGGCAUCUGUUUCCACGUUGAAAUGCUCCUUGAAAUUGGGUAGUUUUAGGACCGGUGUAGUUGUGAGUGCCUGUUUGAGUACUAAGAAUGAUGACGCAGCUUCCGGUGACCACGCGAACUUGUCCUUACAGAGCAAGUCUGAUAGCGGUGUGGCUAUGGAUGCAUAUCCUCGAACAAAUCUUCGGUAGUAACCGGCGAGGCCCAGGAACCCCCAUAGUUGUUUUACCGACGUUGGGGCCGGCCAUUUGGAGAUGGCUUCGAUCUUCGAUGGGUCAACCGCGACACCAUCUGAUGAAAUCCGAUGACCCAAAUACGAGAUGGAGCUAAGUGCGAACUCGCAUUUGGAUCUGUUUACUACCAGGUUGUUCUCCGUUAACGUUGCUAAUGCAAGGCGGAGGUGGCUGAGGUGGGAUACCCAAUCUUUGCUAUAAAUAAGUAUAUCGUCGAAAAAAACCAUUACCGAUUUUCUCAGUUGACUCUUGAAGACGACGUUCAUCGUCGACUGGAAUGUCGACGGCACGUUGCAGAGGCCGAACGGCCUCGUAAUGUCCUUCUGGGGUACGAAAUGUUGUCUUCUCUAUCGAGGAUGGUGAGACUCGAAUCUGGUGGAACCCGGCUUUCAAAUCAAUUUUAGAAAAAAAUGUAGCACCGUUGAGCUCGUCGAAAAUUUCGUCGAUCGUCGGGAUAGGGUAGGCGUUUUUGAUGGUGAUAUCGUUGAGGGCGCGGUAGUCGACGCAAAACCUCCAGGUUCCAUUACUUUUUCGUACUAGGAUGACUGGCGACGAAUAUGGGGACCGGCUGGGUUGUAUGAUUCCGUCGGCGAUCAUGCUGUCUACUAAUCGUGAUAUCUCUGCCUUUUGGAAGUAAGGAUACCUAUACGGUCACACUUUAACUGGUCCGGUACUGGGGUGGAUGUUUAUCUCAUGGUCGGCGUCUCUCUGUGGUGGUAGUCCGCGUGGUGCAGCGAACACAUCUGAAAAGUAAUCCAAGAUCACUUGGACGGCUGGCAAUUCAUGCUGGUCAACUUGAUGGCUGGACAGCUGCAUAUCCGGUAGGUGAUUGAUCUUUAUGAAGAAUAGCUGAUCGCAGCCUGGGGCAUACACUUCUUUGGACAUUUUUGAGGUUAUCAUCUUGCGAGCAGUGGGUGGCAUGUCAAUGAUUGUUUUGGUUUCCACUCCGUUACCGAAAGUCAGGGACCUCUCUUCAUAGUCGAAUGUUACUCUCUUUAACUUCUCCAGCCAGGCCACCCCCAAAAUCGCGUCCGACCCAUGAAACGGUACCACGUGGAAGUCGACGGCGAAGGUUGAAGAACCCAUCGUGACUAGUACUGCUCGGCAUACUCCUCGACAUUCCAUGGUGUGGCCACUCCCCACUAAAACUUCAAAUCUUGCCGUGGUAUCGAUUGGCAGCUCCAGUGAUCGAGCCCAACGUCCGUGUAUGAAAUUUAGAUUGGCCCCGAAGUCCACGAGUAUUUGUAAUGUUGAUCCCUUGAAUCUUGAUAACUCCUUCCACAUUAAUUGUUCGUGGGGUUCUUACUCCCACCAGGACAUGUAUUGAAACUCCUGAUUGGUCUUCUUCUUCUACCGAUUCUUUUUGGUUCUGGAUCGGCUGCAACUCUGUUUCUUCUCCUUCCCAUGUACCCGAUUUCUGUUGCCUCCAGACAUAGGACUCUUCCCGGAGUCUUACACGUGUGGCCCCUAUGGAAGCGUUCUUCGCAGUUGAAGCACAGCCCGGCAUCCCGGCGUCUCUGUUUCUCUUCCAUGGUGAGAGAUUUGGCCCCCGGGGGUAGCGCUCGGCGGUUAGUGGAGGAUUCCCCCUUCUGGAAUGUUUUGAAGACUGUUUUAUUGGGCGCGACCUUCCAUUCCUGCAGCAAGGCUCUAUUUUUAGCUUUCAGUACUGUGGUUGGGUUGAAUUAUUCUAUUUCCUACCGUAUUUCUGUUUUCAAUCCAAAGAUAAACAAUUUGACUUUGAAUUGGGAACUAAAACCUUGUACCCUGUUAGUCAAUUCUUCGAAUUCUUUAAUGUAUUCUUCGACAGUUGUCUUUUGGCGAACUCGCGUGAACGAACUGAGGUGAUUCGUGCAGGCGGCCCUGGGAUCGAAGCGUGAGGUGACGAGUGAGCACAAUUCCGACCAUGAGUUAAUAGGGCCUUCCGCUCGCUGGUAACGGAGCCACUUCGACGCAUCUCUUUCUACGUUAAACGUUGCUGCUCCCACCUUCUGGUGCUCUGGGGUCGAGUGGAAGAGAAAGAAUUCUUCACACCGGUGUAUCCAGCCGUGUGGGUCCUCUCCGUUGAACCUUGGAAAUUCAAAACUCCAUUUUAUCGGGAAUGGAGGCUGAGAUUGGUAUUCUGAAGAUGCGUUUGGUAGAACGACGUUCCUUGGUGGGUAUUGUGGAUUUGUUGGCGGGUACGGUGGUGGUGGUGGAAGGUGAAUUCUUGGAUACUGGAGUAUCGACCCUUGCAGUGGCAUCGGUGUCGUCGUAUUCAGGUUAGUUGUCAUCGUGAACUGUGGAUGAGUUUGGGGUGACGACGACGCGAUGGUUUGUUGGCUGGUUACUGUGACGUGCGCACUUGGAGACAUCUGGACGUGCCCUAAGGUCUGGAACGGUAGUUGUUCCCAAGGGUGCCUUCCUUAGUUCCCAUUUAGCUCCAAACGAUCGAGGAUCGAGGCGAGCCUGUUCUCCAAGUUGGUUAAGGAGUCGUCGGAUGGAAUGGUCGCUGCCUCCAGUCGGCUGCGUAAGUUUCCAGUGAUUGUUGAACCGUCUAGCGGGCUAGAUUGCUGGUGUCCUAUGGAUGAUGGAGGAGUUGUGGAAUUCAUUGAAAGCACCAAAUUACACACCCGGAGGAGUAUCGAUCGACGUUGGCCGGAGCGAAGUCGACGAGAACGGAAGCACGAGGAAGACAGAGAUUAAUAAUAAUUUUUACUUGUAUUUAGUUCAUCGUUUUCAUAGAUUUUAUAGGGUCGCCCUUAUGUAAAUCGUGGUAUCAACCCUUUACAAUCAACCCACGAAGGGGUGUAACUGCCAUCAUGUAACCCAUUAAUAUUACUAAUAAUAUCUCCGGCUAUCGGAGCAGUUUCUUCCAAUAACCGUUGCCACCCUCUUCCCUAAUACCUCAGGGUUUGGGGUGUAAUUAACCUUGACUAAUUGUUAGCGAAUCUACUGCCCGUAUAUUCCACCUGGUACACGUUGUGUGCAGGCGGAACUCUUCGUGGUCGCUUGGGCAGAGGUCUGUUGAGGUCGCCGGCCGUAUCAGAGGAUGGCGCAUGUGCGUCGACUUCACGAACCUUAACAAGUCGUGUCCCAAAGAUAGCUACCCACUACCGUCGUUCGACAGGCUAGUGGACCAGAGCUCAGGCUGCGAAAUGCUGAGCUUCAUGGACGCGCAUUCGGGGUACAACCAGGUCCCCAUGGCUCAGGCAGAUGAGGAGAAGAUCUCAUUCAUCACCGACCUGGGCACAUUCUGUUUCAUGGUCAUGUCUUUCAGACUAAGGAACGCAGGAGCCACUUUCCAAAGGCUAAUGGAUAAAGUCUUCGAAGAACAGAUCGGUAGGAACGUAGAGGUGUACGUCGACGACAUCCUGGUCCGGUCGAAGAGGGCAGAAACGCACCUAGCCGAACUGGAAGAAACAUUCCGCAACAUCAGGAGGGCAGGCCUGAAGCUAAAAGCAAAGAAAUGUACGUUCGGAGUAAACGAGUGACAUUUCUUGGGGUUCAAAAUCACCCCAGAGGGUAUCAAGCCCAGAGAGGAAAAGAUGGAGGCCGUCAUAGGAAUGACUCCGCCAAGGACCAUAAAAGAGGUGCAAAAGUUGAACGGCAGGAUGGCAGCCCUCAGCCGAUUCCUACCAAGAGCGGUUGACAGGCUGCAUCCGUUUUUUCAGCUGCUGAAGUCACCCGGGCCGAGAAUGGUGUGGUCCAUCGACUGCGAGGCGGCAUUCGAGGAGCUAAAAAGGCAACUAGCGCACUUGUCAACGCUCUGCCCGCCCGUCAAGGGCGAACCGCUCACAAUGUAUGUCGCAUACUCGGACGCAGACGUCAGCGCGGUACUCCUGUCAGAGGAAGACAGAAUACAGAGGCCGGUGUACUAUUACUCCCGGUCGUUGCAAGGAGAGGUACCUGGACAUUGAGAAGCUAGCCCUAGCAGUGGCCUCGGUGGUUAGAAGACUGGAGCCGUACUUCCACGUCCACACGAUAACCAUCCCAACGGCUUACCCACUGCUUCAGCUCCUCCAGAAACCAGACGUCUCCAGAUGCCUCACAAAGUGGGCCAUGGAGCUCAGCGAGUUCCACAUAGAGAUUGUCCCGGCCAAGGCAAUAAAGGGACAGGUCGUAGCCGACUUAAAGGCCGAACUAACCCCCCGAAGGCAGACCCUGACGGAGGGGAAAUGGUGGACAACCCACGUCGACAGUUUUUCCAGCAACACGGGUUAUGGCACCAGAGUAGUAAUAAGGGCCCCGACAGGGGAAAAGAUCGAGUAUUCGAUACACUUCGGCUUCCGGGCGACCAACAACGUAGCCGAAUACGAGGCCCUCCUAGCCGGAAUAAGAUUGGCCGCAGCCCUCAGAGCGAAAAAAGUCCACCUCCACACGGACUCCCGGCUGGUGGCAAACCAAGUGAGGAGCGAAUUCGUGUCCAAAGAGGACUCGAUGUCGACCUACGUGGCGGAGGCCCGAACAGUCCUAGGCCGACUCAACGAAUGGAAAAUCACCUAGUUUGGGAGAGAGAGUGAUGAAGUACGAAAUCUGCUACCAGUAGGCUCGCGGGGUUGCGAGGAGGGCCGGAGGCUUUGGAGUCCAUGACGCGCGCUCUACGUCAAUGUACCUGCAGAAGUGGAGGGGAAUUGGCGACUCUCUUGGGAGUAGGCAAUUCGGGCUCCUUGGAUUGCUCUAGUGUGGUCAAGUGGAAAUGACUUGGGAGUAGAGGACCCCCAAGGACCCCUUUUAUAGGGUCCUGGGGGACGUUUCCCCAUUCAUUAGCGUGGGGCCCACCCCAUUAAGGUACCCUAUUGAAGGGUGCCUUAAUGACGUGGGCCCACUCAAGUAACGGCUGGGAGUCGGCGACUCAGGUAUGGGAGUCGCCGAUUCAGAGGUGUUGUCGCCGACUCCCCAUGAGCCAAGUUGGCAGUCUACCAGAACCGACCACGAGGCCUAGAGUCGGCGAUUCACCCCUGGAGUUGGCGACUUGGUAGUCCCAGUCGGCGAUUCCCAGGUGUUGCCUUGAGUACUUGACGUAGACACUUCCUCCGCAUUUGUGGAACUCUCCGGGGGUCCGACAUAAAGCGACGAAACCCUAGUCCUUGUUGAAGGGCGUUGCUGGGAGUGACUGACGUAAUCAGGCAUGUCUCACCAGUACUCCCCCCUGAAGAGAGCACAAGAAACAUACGUGUACCGCCAGUAUCCCCCCCAAGCAAGAUGAUCCGCAUCAAGGCCAAAACGACAAGAUGGGAUUGAGUCAUUGCGCUCACAGCGACACAAAUGACUCCGCGUGGUCUAUGCACUAUCAGAUAGACUGAUUCACUAUCAGAAUCUAGUUCCAGGCCAAUGAAACUACAUGUUUAUAGUCCUACUCUGAUCAAGAGCGAUUUUUGCUGUGUGGAUUAUGGCCGAAGCGACAGAAUGCAUGGAUUCACUAUUAGAAUCUGAUUCUGGCCCAAGCAAUAGAAUGCGUGGAUUCACUAUCAGAAUCGGGUUCUGGCCGACGCGACAGAAUGUGUGGAUUCUGGCCGAAGCGACAGAAUCUAGUUCACUAUCAGAACUGAUGUUUAUAGUCCACCCUGAUCAAGAGCGACUUUACAUCCGCAACGACGGUUACCCCAUAGGCCGAAGCGCAAGAUGGGUCGAGAUCAUUAAGGUCAAAACGACAAAAUGAUCUCCAAAUGUUUGAAAAACUAUUGAAGCCAAAGCGACAACAUAAUUUUUGGUCUGAUUCUGGCCGAAACGACAGAAUCAUGUCUGCAAAACAAAAAACAACCUGCAAAACAACUAUAUCAGUCGAAAGGAUAUAUUUAUUGAUUUACUAACCUUGCCAUGUGGAGCUGCCUCUUAUGCUCCUCCUCCUUAUGCUCAAUAACUCCUUGAUUGAUCUGGCCGAAGUGACAGAUCUAUCAUGCUAAAAAAUGUGACAGCUUCUGGCCGGAGCGACUGAAGUGCCGGGAGAACUUGUGAUACUCCCCUUGGAUUUUGACGACUUUUGUUCGAAGCGAGAGGAGUGUCAGGAAGAGCUUGUGAUGCUCCCCCCUUGAGAUCAUUAAGGCCGAAGCGUCAAAAUGACCUCUGGUUUAUCGAGGCCGAAGCGACGAGACAGACCGACUCAGUAUUAGAAUCUGACUCACUAUCAGAGUCUGGUUCACUAUUAGAACCUGGUUCACUAUUAGAACCCUUCCUGCAAAAAAGAAAACAUCCUGCAAAACAACUAGAUCAGUCCAAAAACGCAUAUUUGACUUAUUGAACUUACCGUGCGAUUUUACCUUCCCUGAUGCCUCUCCUUUGCUCAAAUUGAUCCUUGGUAAAUCUAACCGAAACGACAGAUCUUACCGUGCUCAAUUUUUGACGACUUCUGGCCGGAGCGACAUAAGUGUCGGGAGAGUUUCUGAUACUCCCCUCAAAAUUUGACUUCUGGCCGAAGCGACAUAAGUGUCGGGAGAGUUUCUGAUACUCCCCUCGAAAUUUGACGACUUCUGGCCGAAGCGACAUAAGUGUCGGGAGAGCUUGUGAUACUCCCCCAAAAUGUGACGACUUCUGGCCGAAGCGACAGAAGCGUCAGGAGUACUUGUGAUACUCUCUAUUGAAAUGUGACGACUUCUAUCCAAAUUGACAGAAGUGUCGGGAGAGUUUGUGAUACUCCCCCUCGAAAUGUGACGACUUCUAUACAAAUUGACAGAAGUGUCAGGAGAGUUUGUGAUACUCCCCCUCGAAAUGUGACGACUUCUAUCCAAAUUGAUAGAAGUAUCAGGAGAGUUUGUGAUACUCCCCCUCGAAAUGUGACGACUUCUAUCCAAAUUGAUAGAAGUAUCAGGAGAGUUUGUGAUACUCCCCCUCGAAAUGUGACAACUUCUAUCCAAAUUGACAGAAGUGUCGGGAGUGUUUGUGAUACUCCCUCUUUAAAAUCGUGUCGUUGUUUUUUGAAAUAUUUGAUUGUGAUUGUCAAUGGGCUAUCUUUUGUUUUUUCUUUGCUAAUCUUUUAUAUACAAAUUACCCUUUAAAUUAUAACUAAGGCCCGAAACUAGAUUCACAAGUCGUAAUUUAGCCACUCUGGACGUAAAUUAGACUCUACUAAUCCUAUUGCUAGCCACUCUGGGCGUAGACUUGGUCGUACGAAUCGUAGCUCAGCCUACGAUUAAAUUUGCGGAUAAUUUAUACCUCCAGAUUAACGUAGAGUAAAAGAUAGCGCGAGUGACAAAUCCGAAGGAUGCAAAUAUUUCAAACUCGAGGGUUACGUUUGUAAUUUCCAAUUACAACUUAAGUUUGAACCCUGAUGUUGGAGAGAGCUUGUGAUACUCUCUCUUGAAACAUGACGACUUCUGGCCGAAGCGACAGAAGUGUCGGGGGAAUUUAUGAUGCUCCCCCUCGAAUUUUGACGACUUCUGGCCGAGGCGACAGAAGUGUCGGGAGAACUUAUGAUGCUCCCCCUCUAAAACAUGCACUUGUGGCAUUUUUGCUGGUAUUUUACCCUUAGUCGGCGAUUGGAAGCCCCAAUCGGCGACACCUAUGGUUUGGGUAGCUGCAGGGGGUGUUUUGAUUUUUACCCCUGUGAGUCGGCGACUCCCUCCAGGGAUCGGCGAUUCCUAUUGUAACUGUCGGAUCUUUUUAGAAGAUCCUUGAGAUAUUUGGAGAAUAUAUGGGGAAUAUAUGCAAAAUCUCCAAUUAAUGAAGUAAAUCUCACAGUGCUGCGAGAUAGUGUCCGGAGUCGACGACUCUGGCAUGAUAUCGGGGAUACGGAGAUCAAUAUCCGAUAUCUUUUUUGCAAUUUUCGGAUUUUCUAGGGUUUUUUUGCAAUUUUCCCAGGGGCUAUAAAUAGUGGAGAGUUCUCCCCAAAUCUCACAACACUUUUCCCCUUCUCAAUCGCCUAAAACCCUAGAUUUUCCAAUCGCCGAUUCCUAAGUCACUUUUCCUUGAAUCGACGAUUCGACAGCUAUGUCUACCCCUGAUUCCAGCUUUUCUCCUCUGAAAGAGGCUGAAACCUCUGCCUUCAUCGAGGAGAUGACCGUUGAUUGACUUGACGAGGUGUUGAACACCGUCGAGUCGCCGAUUCCCUCUCCUGACAGAGUGGUUGAGUCGGCGACUCCGGUCGUUCCAACUCACGAUAUGGACUUGAGUGCCUCUGUGCACGAACUUUUUGGCGCCUUGUCGGAGUCGUCGAUUCCCCAUGCAGAGUCGGCGACCCUGAGCAGAGCCCUUGUGGUCGUGCCUGAGGGAUCUCUGGAACUGGAAGAAAUUCCCGGGACCUCUGAGUCGACGAUUCCCCUUGUGGCAUCGGCGACACAGAUUGGGCCCGUUAAGGGAAAAUCUUUCAGGAGAAGAGGUCAUGGCUCGAGUGCCAUUUGGUCGGCGACUGCAGGCCGUGACUCGACGAUCCUUCUCAUUGGAUCGGCGACUCAAGAGCCUGAGUCGGCGACUCCCAUGAAUGUUGAUGACUCUUCCGUGCACCACCUUGCUCCAUUGGUUGUGAGUGCCGAAGGUCGAAUUGUAUCGGGGCUGAACCCGAACCAGGGGCCAUCCGAGGGCGAUGGCUCGAAAAAACGAAAAAGAAGACGUAGCCACGACAGGGGCAAGGUCUACGUGCCGGAGCAGGAUGAGGGGGUCCCCGCGCCCCUCGAUGUUAAUUUUGAAGAGACCUUGCAUGUUGACCGUGGUGCUUGUAACCCACGCUGUAGAGCGAGCCGACGCUCUAUUGAAAGAACUCCGCCACCUCCCGUGGAUUUGGACGAAAAUCGAGAUCCGGACCUCGAUUUUGACGCGUAUGUUGGAGCUCCAAACCCAACUGGGUUCGCUCACUGCGAGAUUGCCUUAAAUGGCGAACCAAGGUUGCUCUCUAUAGGCCGCUCCGGGGACGGCGAAUACGAGCUAGUCACGACUUCCGCAACCUUGGAUGUUUCGGAUGGACUGCAUCCCCCUUCAAACCUUAAUGCGAGCGAUGCUCGAAGCUUGCUAUUGGGGGUGCAGAUUUCAGGACACGUGCGAUUCUGGAUAUCGCAAUACCAGCCUGCGAGUCUCCCACCAUUGGGAUUCCAGGCUAUCCCGAGGAUAUAUUUCAAACAUUUCUUGGAACUUCCUAUUCCUGAGAUAAUGAGCGAAAUAUUACUCGCUUUUGAAGUGUCCCUGUCGCAGCUCCCGGCGGGAUUCUUCGUGACCCUACGGGGUUUUAUGAACGUGUACUGGAGUUUGAGGAUCCCUCCUACUACAAGCUUGUUUCUGCAUUUCUACAAGCUUGUGAAAGAUGGAAAGUCGGGGUCUUGUCGCGUCGGGUUUACGCGACGGCAUUUUGACAAGAAUGUUGUCGACGAUUUGCCGACCAACUUCGGAUGCAACUGGAAGAUGGAGUUCUUCUUCAUUACUUCUGAGUUUCUUCCCGAGAGUCGGGAAGAAUGGAACGACCCCAACCAAGUGCACAUGAGUGCUUCGCUUGGGCUGACCACCAAAGAUAUUGAAGCCUUGGAUCGAAUGUCGCGGACCCUGGCUGCUUACUCUGUGCCGCGCGGUGUUCCCUUUGUCCUUUGCUAAAGGGAAGAUUUUACUUUUGAAGAUGUGGUUGAAGAUCAACAGAGAAAGAGCUUCAGAGCGGGAAAAAGCGAUCGCUUUUAUACUUUGACACCGUUCCUCUCUAUAUA
rnacentral:lncRNA from 1 species